GAAUAUAAAUCUUUGAUAUACAUGUAAGAUUACUUAUAUGAUAUGAAUUAGUAUGUUAUAUACUUGGCAUAUUACAUGAUUGAUUAUGUAUCAAAGCUCACCUUGUUGUUGUGACUUAUUAUGUUAGGUAAACUUUGCCAAAUUAGUUAGUUUAACAUGCUUAAUUGUAAAUUGAGGUAAGUUUCUUGUUCAAAUACCCAUGAACUUACUAAGCAUUCGUUAUGCUUACCCCGUUGUUUUCCCUUUCCUUGUAGUUUGUCAAUUUGAGGAAUGUGUUGAUCGGAUCUACGAGAAGCCCACACUAUCCUGUGUUCAAUUCAGUAGUAUUUCAAACGUUUUAAAGUUUGGUUAUGUGGCAUGUACAUAGGUGUUGUUAUUUUAACUUAAAAUGAUAGUUUUGGUUUGAACUUUAGUUAAUGCGUGAACGUUAAUGCCAAUUGAUAAAUGUAAGUUUGGUAAUAUGUUGUGUUGUGUGUAUCAAACUUAUAAUUGCAUAUUUGAGCACGAAAUGGUAUGGGAAAAUGAUUAUAUGGAACGGUUAAAUGCAUAUGUAAAUGAAUUCUAAUUCUAUAAGUUGAAUUGGUAUGAAAUGGUGCCAAGUUGAGGUAUUUUGAAUCGAUUGAUUGAGAAAUGUUUAACUGCAAUGUUUUGGUAUGAGUUUAGAUUGGUUUUAUACAGGUUCAAGUGUGCAAUUAUGCACCAAUUAUGGAAAUGAUUUGGUUAUAUUGAUAUAAGUACUAAAUGGCUUAAAAUUGACCAAAAAUAAAGUAUAUGUCUUGAUGAGCAACCUUCCUCAUCACAAUGUCGGUCGUCAGUAUGUCACGUCGCGACAACGAGUGACCUGAGGUCACGACGUGACCAACUGUUUGGUGACGUCACAACGAAGAGAAGGUGACAUCACAACGUUGACCCUGAAUUUUUAAAACUUUACAAUUUAUUCUUAUUUCGUGCUUGGGUCAACAAAAGAGCUUUUGUAAACUCAAUUAAGGUUCGGAUUUAAUUGUGAAUCAUAAUGAGAAUGUCUUUAUGACAAGUUUGAGUGUUUGAUUGAUUUGUUUAUGGUCUAUUUGAUGGUAGUUGCCCGGCAAUAAAUGUGGCAUCUUGUAGCUCAGGUGACGGGUGCUAGAUUAUCAACUCAGUCAUUAUUAUAAAUAUUAAAAAAUUAAAAUUAUAAAAUUAUAAAAAAAACUCAGCCAUUUUUUUGAAAUAAAAAUUAAAUCAUGAAAACUAUAAAAUAUAAAAAUAUAAAACAAAAAUAUAUAUAUAAAAAAAGUAAAGGUGGGUGAAGAAGGUAUAGCCUGACAUUUUGGUGUCACCCUUUUUGAUUUAAAAUAUUGUUUUUAUUGUUUUAUUUAAUUUUAUUAAAAUAUCAUUUUUAUAGGUAGUUUUGCUUAAAACAUUGGUGACAUCAACGACAUCAUUUUUUAUUGUUCAAAACAACCCAUUCUCAUCAAUAAUUUGCUUCCACCCUAUUUUCGUAAUUAUUUUUUUUCUUAUUAUCAAUGUAAAAAACCUUGACCUUACCAUGAAAAUAGAUAUUUAUUAAUUGUUACUAAAAUUAUUUAUUUAUUUUUUUAGUAUUAUUGGAAUCAGAUUGGAUUGAUUAGUUGAUUUGAGGAUCGACCCUUAUAUUGGUUUAGAAAAAAAAUGAUUAAAUUGACUUUUAAGUGAAUCGCUUGAAAUUGAUAGAAAACCAAAAAUUAUGAAAAAAACAUUGAUAGUUUGAAUAGAUUGAACCAAUUUAUAAUUUUUUAUUAUUUUUAGGAAUAUGUAAGGCAUAAUGAUAAAUUUAGGCUCAAUGGUUAUAUUUUUAUCAAUUUGAUCCUUAUUCUUUUAUUUAUUUACUUAAUUUUGAUCAUUAAUAUUUUAAAAUGAAUCUAAUUAUUUUUUAAUAAAAAUAGUAACUAAAACAUUAAUUUAAUAAAAACAAAAAGUUUUCCAAUCACGCAAAUUCUCAAAUAUUAUUGGUACAAUUAUUUCAACCACAGAUGACAAGAGGACCACAUAAAAAGGUCUAUCCAAAUGAAUUAACAACCACUUAAUUAAUAUUAAAUGAAUCCCACUGUUGUAAAUCGAAUCUCCUCAAUUUUUUUUAAUUUCGAUUAGUGAUUUAUAAAUAUAAAUUGAUAAGAUUUAUAUAAUUUUACUUAAUUUCACAAACAUAAUGAUAGUAAUAGCCCAUUUUGCCCGGGCCCGAAACAAAACCAAAAAUAAAAAAUAUAUCAGUCUAUGUACAACGGGCCAAAACAACCCAAUUUUUUAAAAACCUUAAACGGCCUAAUUGGGCCGUAAAAUUAAACAACAUCAGGGAACCCUAGGGUUCCCUGCCUUUCCUUGCGCUGCUACUGCCCAUGUACACUUUCGGCGUGCACAACGCCCGAGGUCUGCCAUCGCCAGCCAAGCCUUGCACCAAAACGGCAAGCCACUCCAAUGCCUGCAAAAGAAAACCUACAAACAAGCAUGAAAGAAGGACGAGCAGCACAAAAAGCAGAAACAAUAAAAAUAAUGAAAAAAUGUAUUCUCUAUAAUUUACAAUCAAUUCAUUCAAUAUUUCUUUUUUUAGAGGACAAAUUCUCACAUUUAAAUUAUGUGUUAGAGGCACUAAUACCUCAUCCCAUCCAUCUAGAAAUCUUAGUUCAAGCCCUUCGCUACUGGGUAAAAGAUGCUUCUUCUUUGCAUUUAUUACGGUUCUCUCUCUACGAGUAUUGUAAUUUGAAGAGUUUUAUUACUCCAAAUAAAUCUAUUUCGAUUUUUAAUCGGCUUUAUAAGCCCAGAAACAAAACGAUGUAAAGGGGGAAUUUUGUAUGAAAAGAGAUUGAAAAAAUAGAAUACAAAAAGAGGUGAUUUUUCGUUUCUUAUUAUUCUGUUCUUAUUUUUUUUUAUUUAACUUUCAGUCUUAUAUAUUAUAUAUUAGAAAUAGAAAGAAAACUUUCUAAUAGAGGGACGGAUUCAAACAUGAAACGAAAGAAAAAGGUAGAUAAAGGAAGAGGAUAAACGAAAGCAAAGCUUUUGCACGGAUUCAAAGCUGUUUUAUUCCUCCUUUCUUUUUUUUUUGUUUUGUUUCUUUUUUAGAAAAAAAAACUACAUAUAUAUAUACGUCUAUAAAAAAAUUUGAGACAACUUAUCUGGGAUUUGACCGCCGUACGCGGCGGUGGCGUGGUGACGAUCGACAAACUAGCGGCGCUGAGACAGGGGCUUGAAAUCCUAACAGAAAAGAGCAUUUGAUUUAUUUAUUUUUAGUUCACAGCAGACUGAUUUUAAAAAAAAAGGUGUUGCUUUUAUAAAGUGAAAGAAACGGCGCCGUAUCAGCAAAUGGCCCAACCCGAUGAUCCGACCCGAGCGGGAUCAGAUCCGCGUAUUAUGGGUCUGUGAGGGAUAUUUUCCCUAUUAAUCCCUCGUUCUUUUCCCCUGUCUUAAUUUCAUUCGUUUAUUUUUUUUAUUUACCCUAUCUAUUUUGAGCUUAUUCAUUUGGGUCCACGCCGCAACACAGCGUUUUGGGACUGGGGAUAUUUUCCUCUUUAAUCCCCAUGUAAUCUGCAUAUUGCACUUUAACCCCUCUUCUUGUUUAUAACUCUAUUCUUUCUUGUUAAUUUAGAUUUGAUUGCGAUUUAAUCCUUUUGUUAUAUUUUUUAAUUUAAUUUAUUAACUAUUUUAUUAUUAUUUUAGUGGUACAUUCGAUCAUAUUUUCAUUAUCUUAUUAUAUAUUGUCAUUUUGAGUUUUACUUAUAUUAUUAUUAUAAUUUUAUAAUGUGUUAUUUUAUUAACUCAACAUAAUAUACUUAUUUUUUUAUAUACUUUAUAAUGUACAUAUACAUACGUACAUUUUAUAAUAUAUAUAUACACACAUAUACAUGUACAUAUUUUCAUAACUUGUUAUAUAUAUAUAUGUAUAUAUGCAUGCUUGUAUUUCUUUAUAUACUUUAGAAUUUAUACACGCCUAUAUAUAUUUAUAUACAUUUAUAUACAUAGUUUUUACUUUACUUACAUGAAUAUAUACAUACAUACUUAUAUUUUUAUAUUUUAUAAUUCUUAUAUACAUAUACAUAUAUAUACACAUACACAUACACAUACAUAUUUUUAUAAAUUAUAUAUAUAUAUGAAUAUAUACGUACUUAUAUAUUUUUAUUCAUAUACGUAACUAUAUAUAUUUACUUACACAUUUUCUUUUCAUAAAUAUAUAUAUAUACAUAUUUAUAUAUUCUAUAUAUUUUAACAUAUACCUUUAACAUAUUUUUAUAUCCUAUAAUUCAUGCAUGUAUAUAUCUUUAUAUGUUCUACGAUUGAUAUUUAUAUUUUGUCCACGUUCCUUUUAAUUAUUUAUUCACGUUUUCAUCAUUAUUAAAAAAAAGGAAUGUUUUAAUUUUAUUUGCUUAUAUAUUUGUAUAAUUGAUUUGUCCUUUUUAUUUAUCCUUUUUUUGGUUGUUGUUAUUGCUCGUAUUAUUUAUGUGUACAUCAUCGUAUUUAUUUUUAUUUUGUUACACAUAUUGAUAUUGUGAUUCAUUUCUACUAUCCCGAAUUAGAUUAAUUUAUCUCGACGCAUAAGUUUCAACUUUUGAAUAAGUAAAAUUUCGUGUUUAGAUUCGAGAGGAUUGAGCCCUAACGUAUUGGGUUCAAAUUUUCUUCGUUGAAUCUAAAUAAUCGAGAAUUCUCUUUAAUAAUUAAAAAACAUAAAUAAAAAGCUCAUUAUCGAGAAUUCAAUAUGUUGUGUCCUAACGCAUUGGAUAUGACAUGUUGUUUUCUUGAGAUGAGGAUUUUUCUAAAAAAUAAUAAAGGCAAUAGUCAAUGUUUAGAAUUUUGAGGAAUUGUGCCUUAACGUAUUGGGUUGCGAUUUCUUCAUCUGACUUAAACAAUUGAAUAUCCUUUUGAAUUUUAUUGCAUGAGUUUUUAGGACAGGCUCAUUUUUGGGGAGGUGAAAUAUCAUGCCCUAAUUCAUUGGGUGUGACAUUUUCUCUCUCCAAAAUGAGAGGUUCUUAACAUGUAAUUUGAUUUAUAUAAGUUUUUUUAAAACAAAGGAUCGUAUUUUAAAUCUCUUCAAAGUUUUCAAUUUUUGAUAUUAAGACAUUAACUAAUCAACUAGGUACCAAUUUUUGGGCAUUACGAGGGUGCUAAUCCUUCUUCGUACAUAAUCAACUCUCAAACCUAUUUUUCUGAAUUUCGCAGACCAAGAGCAUUGUUUUAAUAAAUCUAAACCGUUUAUUAAAAACAACCAUUUUACAAGGUGACCCAAUCACACCUCAUCAAAAAAGAUCGGUGGUGACUCCCGUUUUCAUUUUCGUUUUCGUUUUCAAAAUCCAAGUGACCCCGUUUUAUCAAAAAAAUGGUGUCAAUAGCUUGGCGACUCCGCUGGGGACCCAAAAAAAAGAGAGUAAAGCCACAAGUUGAUUAUUUCUUGUCUUUUUGUCGAAAAUGGAUAAUUUGGUUCAAAUUCACGAUCUUUUUGUUGCACCUAUGGAUAAUUUGGUUCAAAACCAUGAUCUUUUUGUUGCACCUAGUCUGCAUCGUUUUGUUAUAUCUGCUUUAUUUGUGUAAGUCUCGAUAUAGUUUUUGCAUAUUGCAUUUACAUGAUUGUUCGGUCAUGCCCUUCUAAGUGGGAGUGUGAAACUACGCCUUCGUGAGGUUUUCACCUCCGCAUGGGAUAGUAAAUAGCUUCCGGGAUACAUCCGUACCUAUGUCUUCGUGAGAUUUUCAUCUUCGCAUGGCCAUAGGGAAAUGUAUUCCCCUGAACCAAACUCAGUCCGUAUGAGCCUAUAAUGGGUGAGGAUUGAGGAAUCUGUCGGUUCAGGUACCCUUACUUUAGAACUGAACCACAUAUAAUGAGCCUUAGGAGCCUACCCUAGGUAGAAUCACAUCAAAUGCCUAGAGGUCAACCUAAAGCUUGGUUUAAAUUUACGAUCAUUUUGUAGUGUUUUGUCCGUUUUUGUUAUGAUUAUCAUUACUUCGGUUUGUAAUUACUCUAUUGGUUUGAAUUUUCGAUAUGUUUCUGCAUAUUACACUAUAUAACCACUUGAUUAUACCCUUUUAAGUGGGAGUGAGAAACUAGUCCUUCGUGAGGUUUUCAUCUCUGUGCAGGAUAGUGGAUCACUUUCGGGAUACAUUCGUAUCUAUGUCUUCGUGAGAUUUUCAUCUCUGUGUAGCCAUAGGGAAAGGUAUUCCCCUGAACUGAACUUGGUCUAUAUGAACCUAUAAUGGGUAAGGAUCGAGGAAUCUGCCGGUUCAAGUACCCUCCUUUACUUUAGAGCUGAACCGCAUGUAGUGAGACCUAAGAGCCUACACUACGUAGAACCACUCUGAACCAUUAGUGGUUACCCAAAUAGGUGUUCUAUUCUUUCUUGCUUACUUUUGUUUUAUACUAACCUGUUUUGUUUUGUUUUGUUUAUGAUUGCUUUACAUUUUUAUCAAAGAAAAGAGGUGUUGAUUCAAAUUUGAUUGCUAAAUAGAAAAGCUUGUCAUGGAAAAUGAAUUUCUUGAUAAAGUGAAAUAUAAUACGACUGCCUGAAUAUGGACUGAUCAAACACAAUGAGAGAAGACUAGAAGUUCAUGGAGGAAUAUACGACUAUGCUUCGCUGCCUGAGGAUUCAAACCAACAAAGAGUAUUCGAGAGCUGUCACGAAACUAAAAAGCAUCGCGGGGGAGCAAUGGGUCGUGGCUCGGAUCAAACAAAAAUGAGAUAGUAGAGACAAAUUUUGGAAAAUUCACAAUAUUUGAUCCUAGCAUCCGUAUAUGAAGAAGGAGAUCAAUGUCUUCGCUUGCAAUAUAAAGGCAAAGCCGCAUAUGUAAUCUGUUUUAUGUAAAAAAAAUUGUCUUCUAGAAAAGUUGUUCUAAUGUAAUUGGGUUCAGAAUCAAUACCUCUCUUUAUUUUUGCAUUCAUUCAUUUGCAUUACAUUGCGUCAUAUGCAUUAGAUUUUCACAAAAAGACCCUAAUUGAGUAAAAUUAUUUCAGCUAAUCUGGAAAACCAACACGCUUACGGUAUCUGAGCAAAAACUAAAGCAAUGGACCAAAGGUUGGAGAUAUUAGAGCAAAGGCAAAUACAAAUGCAAGCCCAAAUACAAGAACAACUAGAAAAGAUCCAACAAGACAUGCAAGAAUCCCAAAGGAGCUUGAUGAGGCAGUUAGCACAGUUAUCGGCUAGAGAUAAAAAGAAAAACCCUGUAGUCAAUUCUGGGGAUGAAUAUGAAGACCCUACCUAUCCUCCAGGUUUCACCCCAAUAGGUAUCCAGGCCCAACCUGACGCGCAUCUACAAGGGGCGCCCACUACUAACAGACCCCAACGAUAUCAGGCCGAUACCUCGGCGCCAAUGAACUACUCGACAGGCUCAGGUUCCAAAUUUAAGGAACGAUCCAACCAAUCUUGUAGAUAAAAUGGUAAAAGCAAUGGUAGAACUACCAAAAAAACUCGAAGAUCGGUAUAGGUGGUUGAAAGAAAAAUUCAAAGCAAUGGAGAAUGCUGAUUACCAUUGCGGGGUUGAUGCCAAUGAUCUAAGUUUGGUCCCAGAUCUAGUACUCCAGCCGAAAUUCAAGGAUCCAGAAUUUGAAAAAUAUAAUGGGACUAGUUGUCCUGAAACUCACAUCACAAUAUUCUGUCGAAGAAUGACAGGAUACAUUGAUAACGAUCAACUGUUAAUUUAUUACUUCCAAGAUAAUCUGAUCGGGUCAGCUGCCAAAUGGUACAACUAGUUGAGCCGUGCCAAUAUCCACUCAUGGAAGGACUUGGCACAGGCUUUCAUGAAGCAAUAUGGUCACGUGGUAAACAUGGCCCCUGACAGAAUUACACUACAGAACUUGGAAAAGAAGCAAAGUAAGAGCUUCAGGCAAUAUGCCCAAAGAUAGAGAAAGGUAGUGACACAAGUCCAACCACCUCUUCUGGAAAAAGAAACCAUGGUGCUUUUCGUCAACACUCUAAAAUCCUCAUUCAUUAACCAAAUGUUGGGAAGUGCUACCAUGAGCUUCUCAGAUAUGGUAAUGUCUGGCGAGAUAAUUAAAAACGCCAUAAAAAGUGGGAAGAUAGAUACGAGAGAAAGCGUCAAAGGAUCAACCCCAAAGAACAAAGAAAAUGAAGUAAGCAACCUGAGCAUGUAUAAUAAAGGAUAUCCCCAAUCGGUCACUGUGGGCCAACCGAGGGUCAUAACCGCCAACUAUCAAAGCAUUAACGUCGUAUCCAAAAAGGGGGUUGGGGAGGAGAACACACUUGGAAGUGUUUUGAAUAGUGGGACUGCGAAAGAGAUCCCUGUAUUUUUUAGAGCUAAUUCGAAGUAAUAUCCAAAACACGCUUAUUGCUCUAAGCCUAUGGACAAUAAGAAUACUUUUGUGAGAUAGACUUAUGUCCAACAUCUUUAUUUCAAUAAAAUGCAUCUUUAUUUCUCACUUCGAGCAAAUAUUCUUUUAUUGUUUCCAUUUCAUUCAUAAUCAUACUAUACAGAUAAAUAUUCUUAGAUUCUUUUAUUCUUUGGAUCUACUUUAGUCCUAUAACAGGUCUCUAGAUAUCAAUGAUAUGAGCGACACUGCUAUUGACUCAGAACAUUCUUUUGAGCAGGAUAUGUGUCUGGAUUAAACCUUAGGACUUUGGAGAUAACUGAGACUGUAGCUUAUCUCCUGAUUUGUUAAAGACGAGAGAAUAAGAUUCUACCUUACACAGAAUCAGUGGAAGCCAUGGCCUUUCUCUAUGUGGGGCACAGAUGUCAUAGGGUCGAUCUCACCUAAUGUUUUUUACGGUUAUCUUUAUGGUCAUCAAUUACCUCACUAAGUAGGUAGAAGCUGCUUCAUAUGCCAAUGUCGCAAAGUCAACAGUCUGCGGAUUUUUGAAAAAUCGUAUGUCAGUAUGAAAUUCCAAAAAUGAGCAUAUCUGACUGCACUAAAAUUAAACAACGGCAUGAUGUCAGAAUUUUGCAGUCUGUUCAAAGUUAACACAUUUCGCCCCAAAAUGUACGGUGAAUGGGAGCAAAAACAAAACAAAAAAAGAGGAAAAACUGCUGCAGGGGCAACACAUUGGCUUAUCAAAGUUUUACUCAUUGAGGUCAAUAUUCCUUCUCUCCGAGUGUUGGAUCGGAUCCCGAUUGAAGAGAAAUGUUCAAAGUUAUCUGUUUUGGUCAAAUGCACCAAAAACAAAAGACGUGAGCUCACCAAAGAAGGUUCGCCCUAGAGAGUUCCAUGAAAAGGACCUAACAUCGAAGAAAAUCCUUUCCAUACAAAAAAAAAACUUUAGAAGAAAGGGGAUAUCAAACUGAAAAGAACCUUAUGUGGAAGGCUUUGUCUGGAGAAGUGUUGAUUUUGACCAAAAAUGAUAGCAAUGACUUACCUGAUCUUACGAGUGCGAAUUCAAUCAAAGAAUGUUAAAAAAAAUAGAAAAAAAAGAAAAAAAGAAAAAAAAAAGAAAAUAAAAGAAGAAAAAGAAAAGAAAAAGAAAAAGGAGAGGUCAAGGUGAAAACCCACAAAGGGCACCUUGAGACCAAAAGGGUUUUGAAUUGAAAACCUAAGAAUGAGUAGUUCAAAUUUUGAUCAAAGGUGGGGUAUGCGGUGGCCUUGUCCUCUCUGAAUUAGCAAGAAUGUGAGAUGCUACAUCUCGGGGCAUCAACAAAGUCUUCUGGGACUUCUAGACACAUAUCAAGUUCAAAAGGGUCCUCAAGAAGCUUAUGCAGAGAAGCUCAUGUUGUAAUAUCUGGAGCACUUGCUUUCAUCUUAUUCAUUUUGUUUCUUAGCAAAAUUUACUAUCUUGAUUAAUUUAUUCAUUUCGAGCUUUGCUCUCAAUAAAAUUUCAUCUUAUCCAUUGUGAUAAUCUUAUUCAUUUCGUAUCUUAGCAAAAUUUGCUAUCUUAAUUAAUUUUGAGCUUUGUUCUUAAUAAAAUUCCAUCUUAUCCAUUGUGAUAAUCCUUUUCAUCUUAUUCAUUUUGAAUCUUAGCAAAAUUCGCUAUCCUUAUUAAUUUAUUUGUUUAGAGCUCUGCUCUCAAUAAAAUUUCAUCUUUCCCAUUGUGAUAAUCUUUUCAAGCAUUUUCCAUUGAAAUAAAGAUUAAUGGAAUGUUAAUAUUCAAGAAAAAAGUGUUUUGCAUAUUACUCUAAAAAGUUUCUAAAUAAUAUAGGAACCUGAAACAGGACUAUUGUUUAGAGCACACCAAGUUUAAAGGGUAAAAUGUCUAAGAAGGAAAAGUCUAAAUUAAGACUAUCCUUUCGGAUUUUGUUGUCCAAGCAUGGAUUGAACAAAAUGACAAAAUGUCGUGUUGGUGACAAAGCUUCAAUGAACAAACGAGCAAUGAUCACCGAGUGAUAAAAAGAGGUUUCUUGGAAGAGAAAGUUCUACAAUUGCGCAUAAAUAUUUGGUACGACACCCUGGGAAUGGUGUAGGAGACCAAAGAGAUUUAGAUCCUAUAUCCCUGAAUUGCAGUGGAAGAGGAUUGAGAAAGAGCCAGAUCUUAUACUCAGUGGGAGGAAGAUGGCUCGAACUUUAUGUCCCAAAAUUACCGUGGACUUAACCUUGAAGAUUACAACGGAUUAAACUUUGAAGAUUAUAGAGAAGGACAAUCCGGCUAAGUAAGAGAUGAGUGUUACCAGCUGAGCAAGAUAGCAUUCUGACGUGUUGGCAAUAAAACCUUAUUGAAUAAUGAGUAAUGACAACCCUAACAUUAAAAAGGGAUCAUUCUCAUGAAAUUCUGCAUUCAUGCAAAUAUAAUUCACACACACCUAGUUAGGAGCAUUUGAUUCGUUCUGAUCAUAACAUCCUAAUCACUAGGCAUAAUUAGGUUCAUAAAAUAGAUUAUACAGGUCAUGUUCCCUAGAGAACAAAUCAAAGAAGAUAGUAGAUCUUGUCUUCCUGUAUUGGCAGUGAAGCAGAUCGAAGACACCAAUUUUGCCUCCAAGAGUUUACAGCGGAGCAAACUGAAAAUAGCAGAUUUUGUCUCCAUGAAUUGGCAGUGAAGCAGAUCGAAAAAAAGAAGUCUUAUCUCCCUAAGUAGUAGUGAAGCAGAUCGAAAGCACCAGCCCUAUCUCCCUGAGUAGCAGCGGAGUAGGUCGAAGAUUGUAAAUCUUAUCUCCCUAAAUAGUAGUGGAGUAGAUCGAAAGCACCAGCCCUAUCUCCCUGAGCAGCAACGAAGUAGGUCGAAGAUUGUAGAUCUUAUCUCCCUAAGCAGUAGUGGAGCAGAUCGAAAACCACAGAUCUUAUCUCUCUGAAGUUGCAGUAGAGCAGAUCGCAUCCAGUCUUAUCUCCUUAAGAAGUAGUGGAGUAGACAGAAGAAACCAAUCCUAUCUCUCUAAAGUUGUAGUGGAGUGGAUUAAAAAACACAGAUCCUAUCUCUCUGAAGUUGCAGUAGAGCAGAUCGUAUCCAGUUUUAUCUCCCUAAGCAGUAGUGGAGCAGACAGAAGAAACUAAUCCUAUCUCUCUGAAGUUGCAGUAGAGUGGAUUAAAAACCGCAGAUCUUAUCUCCCUGAAGUUGCAGUCUUAUCUCCCUGAAGUUGCAGUGGAACAGACUGAAAAUAGCAAACCUUAUCUCCCUGUAGUUGCAGUGGAGCAGGUUGAAGAUAUGAGUCUUAUCUCCCUGACAUUACAGUGGAGCAGACUAAAACCACGAAUCUCGUCCCCCUAAAGUUGCAGCAGAGUGGAUUGAAGCAAUAAGACACAGUGGACUGGAGCAAAGCUACUUGAAGAGAAAAGCAUCAAAAGAAAUCAAGACUCGGCGAGACCGGGAAAAAUUGGUAUUUCUUGGUCUUUGCUCUGUUCUCGUUGCACGACAACGAGCAAAGAGGGGCAGCUGUAAUAGCCCAUUUUGCCCCGGCCCGAAACAAAACCAAAAAUAAAAAAUAUAUCAGUUUAUGUACAACAGGCCAAAACAACCCAAUUUUUUUAAAACCUUAAACGGCCCAAUUGGGCCCAAAAAUUAAACAACAUCAGGGAUCCCUAGGGUUCCUUGCCUUUCCUUGCACCGCUACUGCCCAUGUUCACUUUCAGCGUGCACAACGCCCGAGGUCUGCCAUCGCCAGCCAAGCCUGCACCAAAAUGGCAAGCCAAUCCGAUGCCCGCAAAAGAAAACCUACAAACAAGCAUGAAAGAAGGACGAGCAGAACAAAAAGCAGAAACAGUAAAAAUUAUGAAAAAAAAGUAUUCUCUUUCAGCUUUAUAACCCCAGAAAGAAAACGAUGUAAAGGGGGGGAAUUUUGUAUGAAAAGAGAUUGAAAAAAUAGAAUACAAAAAGAGGUGAUUUUUCGUUUCUUAUUUUUUUUUUUUAACUUUCAGUCUUAUAUAUUAUAUAUUAGAAAUAGAAAGAAAACUUUCUAAUAGAGGGACGGAUUCAAACAUGAAACGAAAGAAAAAGAUAGAUAAAGGAAGAGGAUAAACGAAAGCAAAGCUUUUGCACGGAUUCAAAGCUGUUUUAUUCCUCCUUUCUUUUUUUGUUUUGUUUCUUUUUAGAAAAAAAAAUACAUACAUACGAGUUUUAUAUACGUCUAUAAAAAAACCGAGACAACUUAUCUGGGGUUUGACCGUCGAACGCUGCGGUGGCGGGUGACGAUCGACAAACUAGCGGCGCUGAGGCAGGGGCUUGAAACCCUAACAGAAAAGAGCAUUUGAUUUAUUUUUUUCGUUCACAGCAGGCUGAUUUUUUUUAAAAAAGGUGUUGCUUUUAUAAAGUGAAAGAAACAGUGCCGUAUCAGCAAAUGGCCCAACCCGAUGAUCUGACCCGAGCGGGAUCAGAUCCGCGUAUUCUGGGUCUGUGAGGGAUAUUUUCCCUAUUGAUCCCUCGUUCUUUUCCCUUGUCUUAAUUUCAUUCGUUUAUUUUUUUUAUUUACCCUAUCUAUUUUGAGCCUAUUCAUUUGGGUCCAUGCCGCAGCACAGCGUUUUGGGGCUGGGGAUAUUUUCCUCUUUAAUCCCCAUGUAAUCCGCAUAUUGCACUUUAACCCCUCGUCUUGGUUAUAACUCUAUUCUUUUCUUGUUAAUUUAGAUUUGAUUGCGAUUUAAUCUCUUUUUUUUUACAUUUUUAAUUUAAUUUAUUAACUAUUUUAUUAUUAUUAUUUUAGUGGUACAUUCGAUCAUAUUUUCAUUAUCUUAUUAUAUAUUGUCAUUUUGAGUUUUACUUAUAUUAUUAUUAUAAUUUUAUAAUGUGUUAUUUUAUUAACUCAACAUAAUAUACUUAUUUUUUAUAUACUUUAUAAUGUACAUAUACAUACGUACAUUUUAUAAUAUAUAUAUACACACAUAUACAUGUACAUAUUUUCAUAACUUGUUAUAUAUAUAUAUAUGUAUAUAUGCAUGCUUGUAUUUCUUUAUAUACUUUAGAAUUUAUACACGCCUAUAUAUAUUUAUAUACAUUUAUAUACAUAGUUUUUACUUUACUUACAUGAAUAUAUACAUACAUACUUAUAUUUUUAUAUUUUAUAAUUCUUAUAUACAUAUAUAUACACAUACACAUACAUAUUUUUAUAAAUUAUAUAUAUAUGAAUAUAUACGUACUUAUAUAUUUUUAUUCAUAUACGUAACUAUAUAUAUAUAUAUUUACUUACACAUUUUCUUUUCAUAAAUAUAUAUAUACAUAUUUAUAUAUUCUAUAUAUUUUAACAUAUACCUUUAACAUAUUUUUAUAUCCUAUAAUUCAUGCAUGUAUAUAUCUUUAUAUGUUCUACGAUUCAUAUUUAUAUUUUGUCCACGUUCCUUUUAAUUAUUUAUUCACGUUUUCAUCAUUAUUUAAAAAAAAAAGGGAAUUUUUUAAUUUUAUUUGCUUAUAUAUUUGUAUAAUUGAUUUGUCCUUUUUAUUUAUCCUUUUUUUGGUUGUUGUUAUUGCUAGUAUUAUUUAUGUGUACAUCAUCGUAUUUAUUUUUAUUUUGUUACACAUAUUGAUACUGUGAUUCAUUUCUACUAUCCCGAAUUAGAUUAAUUUAUCUCGACGCAUAAGUUUCAACUUUUGAAUAAGCAAAAUUUCGUGUUUAGAUUCGAGAGGAUUGAGCCCUAACAUAUUGGGUUCAAAUUUUCUUCGUUGAAUCUAAAUAAUCGAGAAUGAUCUUUAAUAAUAAAAAAACAUAAAUAAAAAGCUCAUUAUCGGGAAUUCAAUACGUUGUGUCCUAACGCAUUGGAUAUGACACGUUGUUUUCUCGAGAUGAGGAUUUUUCUAAAAAAUAAUAAAGGCAAUAGUCAAUGUUUAGAAUUUUGAGAAAUUGUGCCUUAACGUAUUGGGCUGCGAUUUCUUCAUCUGGCUUAAACAAUUGAAUAUCCUUUUGAAUUUUAUUGCAUGAGUUUUUAGGACAAGCUCAUUUUUGAGGAGGUGAAAUAUCAUGCCCUAAUUCAUUGAGUGUGACAUUUUCUCUCUUCGAAAUGAGGGGUCUUAACAUGUAAUUUGAUUUAUAUAAGUUUUUUUAAAAACAAAGGAUCGUAUUUUAAAUCUCUUCAAAAUUUUCAAUUUUCGACAUUAAGACAUUAACUAAUUAACUAGGUACCAAUUUUUGGGCGUUACGAGGGUGCUAAUCCUUCCUCGUACGUAAUCGACUCUCGAACCUAUUUUUCUGAAUUUUACAGACCAAGAGCAUUGUUUUAAUAAAUCUAAACCGUUUAUUAAAAACAACCAUUUUACAAUGUGACCUGAUCACACCUCAUCAAAAAAGAUUGGUGGGGACUCCCGUUUUCGUUUUUAUUUUCAAAAUCAAAGUCGUCCCCGUUUUAUCAAAAAAAAUGGUGUCAACAUGAUUAUUAUUUAUUAAUGUAAAAAGCAAAGAGUAAAUCUAUAAUAAUAAAAUAGAUUAAAAUAUGUUAUAAAUUUCUAUAUUUUUUAAAAUUUAGGUAUUUAGUCUUUGUAUUUUUAUUUCAUGAAAUUUAGUCCCUUUAUUUUCUAAAUUUUAAAAUUAAGAUUUAAUAUUCGUUUUGUUAAAUUUAUUGUUUUACAUUUUUUAAAUUUAAAAAAAUUACUUAAUAAUUUUGUAAUUAGCUCGAAAAAAAUUUAACAAUAUCAAUAAUUAAACUUAAAUUUUUAAAUAUAAAAAAAAAUCUACAAAAACUGAAAUCUUAAUUUUUUAAAAUUACAAAAUAAUAGUUAUACAAACGUUUUACAUAAGUACACGCGUGUGAAACAUGGUGACAGCGAAACAAUGAGUUUUUGUGGUGGGGAUUUGAGAAUUAGAUAUUAUCCACCAUUUAAAAUUUAAUCAUUGUACUUUUAUUUUUUAUAUUUUAAAAAAAAGUUUAAUUGUUAAUACUACUAAAUCAUUUUAUUAAUUUUGUUAGUUUGAUAUUUUAAAAUAAGAUAAUACUCACUUAAUAAUUAUGUAUCUAAAAGAUAUAUGAUAAUAAAUCUAGAUUUAACAAAAUAAUUUUAAUAAUAUUAAUCCUAGAACUUAAAAUUUGAAAUCUAAAAGGUGAAAAGAAUAAAUUCUUAAAGAUAAAAAUAUAAAAAUUUAAAUUUAAAUUUAUUAAAACUUAUAAUAUAUUUUAACCUUUGAAGUAAUUACUUUUCUUUAAAUUUAGUUAAUUUAAUGUAAGGUAUUUUUGUUUUAAUUUUUAUUCCACAAUUUUACCCUUGAUAAUUGCCGUAUCCGUAAACUUUAGAAAGGAAACAAAUCCGCUUCUAUAAGUAAGGUCGUCUGCUCUAAAACUUGAACACCACCUCACAUAAUCACCAUGGAUCUUUACACUUACAUUCCAUCGAUUGCAUCUUUGUUGCUGUUUCUAUACAUUUUCUCCAGAAAAACACCCAAGAACUCCAAGAAACAUGGCAUCCCUGAACCAACCGGUUCAUUGCCACUCAUCGGUCACCUCCAUCUCUUAGGUGGGAAAGAACCAAUCUGUAAGAACCUAGCAACAAUGGCGGACAAACACGGCCCACUCUACUCACUCAAACUCGGAACCCACCGACUUUUAGUGGUAAGCAGUUGGGAAAUCGCCAAGGAUUGUUUCACCAACAAUGACCGAACCUUAGCCACUCGAGCCAGCAUCGCCGCCGGGCGGCACAUGGGUUACGACAACGCUAUCUUUUCGCUCGCCCCAUACGGUGAAUAUUGGCGUAACAUCCGUAAGAUGGCCACCGUCGAGCUUCUUUCAAGCCACCGUUUGGAGAAGCUGAAGCACAUACGGUUCUCCGAAAUGGACUCGUUCAUCAAAGAGUUGUACGGGCUUUCACGAAACGGUGAUAAAGUGACUAUCAGUGAGGCGUUGGAACGGUUGACGUUUAACAUCAACCUUAGGAUGCUCUUCGGAAAACGAUUCUCUGGUAACGAGUUCGGGGAAGUAAACAGCGAGCCGUGGCGGUACAUGGAAGCCAUUAAGCGAGCGUUGUAUCUAUUUGGGAUAUUCGUUUUGGCGGAUGCUCUGCCGUGGCUCGAACGAUUCCAUAUUCAAGGCCAUGUUCGUUCCAUGAAGGAAACUGCCAAAGAACUCGACUCAGUAAUCAGUGUUUGGCUCGAAGAACAUCUUAAGAAGAAAAGGGAAAACCAGGGUGCCUCUGAAAGUGAUUUCAUGGACGUGAUGUUAACUCACUUGCCCGAGGAUACCGUAAUUUCAGGCCAUACACGUGACACCAUUGUCAAAGCGACAACAUUGGUAAUGGUUACAUCACACUAUAUCUUUUAAACUCACUAAAUUAUUAGUAAGCUCACAUAUUUUUUAGAUAAGAGUUCGUCUUCAUGAUGGUGCGAUCCCACAUCGUGCGAUCUCAUAGAAGAAUAUAAACACCUCAAGUACAAACCCUGUAGACUACAAGUUAGGACCAAUCGAGAAUUUGAGUAACGGAUCGAUAAUGACGAGUACCAUAAUAAAUAUUUACUAAUUUAUAUUUUUUAUUAAUUUUUAAUCAUGAAACCACUUAAACAUUUUUAAUAACUUUAGUUAGAUAAUUAUUUUGAGAAAAAAUUAAAACUGAAUUUAAGAUGUUGUCAUAUUUUUUUUUGUUAUUUACGAAAACAUAUUUAAUAUCUUAAACCAGUUUGUUGAGUAUUUUUAUUUUAUUUGCAGUGCAUAGAAUAAUUACUAUUAUUUUAUAAUAUUAUACAUUUAAUUUUCAUAUGAUAACAUAAAAUAUAAAAUUGAAAACAAGCCAAAUGGGUAUUAGUAUUUGAGUUAAAACUCAACUCAUAAUUUUACAAACUUGUUUUACUUGAAUUUAUUCGAGUGAAUUACAUCCAAUAUCACUAAAUUGUUUGUAAGUUUAUGUUUUGGUUAAUCAACCUUAAAAAGUUACAAAAUUGUUAUUAAACUAUUCUAAAGUUUUCGUUUAAGUUAUUGAACUAUUCAAAAAAAAAUUAAGUCACUAGGCUGUUAAGUUUUUUUUUAAAGCCCGACUAGCGAGCUCUAGGUGAUGAUUCGAUACAGUGAAUCAGUACCCAUCAACAAGUAAAAGUACAUACUUUAGAUCCAAGUCAAUUUAACAGCAAGUGAUUAAAGAAGAAAGUUAUUAGGACUUUGGUUCGUAGAUUCAUAACAUUAAAAUUUAUUUCAUGAAAAAAAUUAAAGUAUAAAAUAGGAGAAUGAGAGUUUCCAAUUGGUGUAGGCAGUAAAAUAGAAAAUGUCACAUAGUAGUGAUUUUUUAACAACCUAGUACUUAAACUUUUAUACAGUUCUGUGACCAUUUUUUAAUUUUUUUGAAGUUGAGUGACCAAAACAUAAACUUACUAAUAAUUUGGUUACCUAGGAUUAAAUCUGUCAAUGGGUCGGGUCGGGCCCUAACAAAAUUCUAGGCCCGCUUGAUAGGUUUAGGCUUGGCCCGACCUGAAAAAUGGGCCUAAAUUUUUGCCAAAGCUCGACCUAGAUUAUAGAUGUUAAAUCUGGGCCCAGCUUGGCCCGUAAUAAAUUAUUUUAAUUUAUUUUUAUAUAAAAAAUUAAAAAAUAGAUACAUCAAAAACACUAAAAACAUUAAAAUAAAUGUUUCCCUAACAAAUUUAGAAAUACAUUACAAAAAUCUUUAUAUUUAAAUAACACUAACAUAGGUGCAACUUAAUAAGUAAAUAACUUUAAAAUAGUAGCAAAAAUUAACAAUAAAAUAAGAGUUAUACAAUAUAUAAAUAAAAAUAUCAAAAUAGUAGCAACAUAAUAGAAAAAAAUAGUAAAAUAGUAGCAAAACAACAAUUUCUUUUUGUAAAUUCAGGGCGGGUCCGGACAAAACCUUACUUGAGGCCCGAUCCGUUUUCUAGAUGAGUAUUAUUUUUUGGUCUAAACCUAUUUUUCGGAUCUAUAUUUUUACCCAAACUCUCAUAUUUUUCAGGUGGCUGAACUAUAGAUAGGUCAUAUAGCUUACUCAACUUAUUUUCACGUUUAGUAUUUUUUCCAGCACUUGUUAAUCUUAAAACUUGAACAAGAUUGAAUAUGUGUAUACUUCAUCAUUAAAACCCCGCUGCUAUUUGCAGGUUCUUACAUUGACCGGAGGAGAAAGCACAUCAGUGACAAUCACAUGGGUACUUUCUUUACUACUGAACCACCCCAAUGUUCUAAUCGCAGCCCAAGAAGAGAUAGAUCACCACGUUGGAAAGCAAAGGUGGGUUGAAGAAUCAGACAUUAAGAACCUCAAAUACCUACAAGCUAUAGUUAAGGAAACUCUACGUUUAUACCCACCAGGACCAAUCACCGGAAUCCGUGAGGCCAUGCAAGAUUGUUGCAUCGCCGGCUACGAUGUACCAAAAGGGACUCGUUUGAUCGUUAACAUUUGGAAACUACAACGAGACCCACGGGUUUGGGAAAAUGCCAAUGAGUUUCGUCCAGAAAGGUUCAUGACAACACAUGUUGAUUUCGAUGUUAAAGGUAAAAAUUUCGAGUACAUGCCGUUUAGUUCCGGUAGAAGGUCGUGUCCUGGAAUGACGUUUGGGUUGCAAGUUGUGCACUUGACGGUGUCGAAAUUAAUUCAGGGAUUUGAUAUUAGGGUGGCGGAGGGGACCGCGGUGGAUAUGGAAGAAGGCUUGGGACUUGCCUUACCUAAGUUGAAUCCUCUUGAAGUUGUAUUAUCGCCACGCCUUGGAACUGAGUUUUACGAAUGCCUUUAAGAUGGUGAAAAAUAUAUACUAGAAAUUUAGCGUUUUAUAUUUUGAUUAAAUAAUUAUUGGAUGUGAUAAUGGCAUGGUGAUACAGCUUUUAGUUGAGCAUUAAAUAAGUUUACUGAAUGCACUUGGGAAUAAAUGUAAGCACAUUAUUAAAUUUUAAAGUCGAUAUUAGUAAAAAGAUUUUAUUUGAAUAUCAUGUUUAAUUGGAAUAAAAUUAGACCCGAAAUCUAUAACAAAUUACAACACUUAUGCUUAUAGCCGAGAUAUUCUCAUGAACUACCUGGUUGAAGAAAAGUGUGUUUGACAUUGCCAAGUAAAAUUAUUGUAAGGGAUUGAAAUGUUAAAAAAAAAUGUUUAAAAUAAUAAAAGUCUAGUUAUGUAUAUGGUGUUAUAUAUGUGCAAGAUUGAGAGUACUUAUAUUGUUUAUUAUAAUUGUCGAAACCAUUUUUUUGAAAACAAAAAUUUAGGUUAUCGACUUAAAAAAAUAAAAAUUGGAGUCGCCACCGAUCCUUGAUUGAGGUGUGAUCGGCUCACCUUAAAAAUGAUUUUGGUCUGCGAAAUUUGAGAAAACAGGUUCGGGGGUCAGUUACGCACGAGGAAGGGUUAGCACCCCCGUAACGCCUAAAAAUCGGUACCAAAUUGAUUAUUUAAUGUCUUAGUGUCGAUGGUUAAAAAGAUUUUUAAAAAAAACUCAAAUGAUGAAAUCUGAAAAUGAUAAUCAAUUGUUCAAGUUAGAUAAAGAAAUUGAGACCCAAUACGUUAGGGUACAAUUUCUCAAAACCUCCUCCCCCCGAACUUUGAAUAUCGCUCUUUUGUUUUUAAAGAAAAUCUUCAUUUCGAGAAGGCAAUAUGUCAUGCCUAAUACGUCAGGACAUCACAAAUUAAGUUCCCGAAAAUGAUUUUUACUUAUACAUUUUGAAUAACGAAUAUUCUCGGUUAUUUGGAAUUAACAAAGAAAAUCGGAACCCAAUACGUUAGGGCUCAAUUUCCUCACUACACCAGAAUAGGCUUUUAGCGGCACUUUUUGCGGCGUUUGGAACAAAAGCGCCACAAAAAAUCGAGCAUUAGCGGCGAUUUAUCCAAAGCGCCGCUAAAGAUAGAGCUUCAGCGGCGAUUAUCUGGAAGCGCCGCUAAAAAUAGGAAUUAGCGGCGUUUUACAUAAAGCGCCACAAAAAACCUAAGACCAACGGCGUCGUUUUUGCGAUUUUUUUAAACCUUUAGCGGCGUUUUUGUGUAAGCACUGCUAAUGCUCGGAUCUUUAGCGGCGUUUUUGUCUAGGUGCCGCUAAUGCUCGAGUCUUUAGCGGCGUUUUCAUGUAGGCGCCGCUAAUGCUCGGAUCUUUAGCGGCGUUUUUGUCUAUGCGCCGCUAAUGCUCGGAUCUUUAGCGGCGUUUUUAUACAAGCGCCGCUAAUACUCGGAUCUUUAGCGGCAUUUUUAACUGAGCGCCACUAAUUCUCUUGUCUUCAGCGGCGUUUUUACCGAAGCGCCGCUAAUAGUAACAAAAAUCUUAUAAGUUGAAAUAAUUAAUAUUUUGUUCUAUUUAUUAUAUAGUGGGACAAUUUACAUUUAAAUUAUAAUUAACAAAUAAUAUUGAUUAAUAUAAAAAGUUUUUAUUAAAGAGAAGUCGUAUAUAUAUAACAGCGAACUAUUUAUAACAGUUGAUUUAAAUUACUACUUUAUGAAAGAAAAUAUAUUAAAUUAUGAAUAAAAUAAAAUAUAAUAAAACUUAAAUUUUUGUAUUAAUGUAAAGAAUAAAUUAAAAAUAGAAUUAACUUUUUAUAAGAGUAAUAAAUUUUGGUAGUAUAUAUUGUUCGACUAAUUUAUACAAAAUAUAUAUAUUUUAACAAUUAAUUAUUGACUAUAUUUUAUGAUUAAUAUAUAUAUUAAACAUUUAGGGAAUUUUUUUAUGGACGGUAUUUUAAGGAGGACGGGGUAUAGAUUUAAGGUAAUUGAGAUUUAAGGUUAAUUUAGGGGUUAGAGGUUUAAGGGUUUGAGAUUUAGGGUUAAUUUCAACAGUCAUGCAUGUUAAUUAGGGUUUAAUUAAUUAGAUUUGUUUAUUAUUUUUUAUGGUGAAUAUAUACAUUCUUAUAUGUAAAAUAGAUAUUCCAGAAUAAAUUUAAUAUAUUGAAUAUUAUAAUAGGUAGAUCAUGAUCACUUUAUGCAUGUCGAUUGAUAAUUUAUAAUUUGAGACUUGUAAAAUGAUAAUUAUCUUGUAUAUUUAAAAACAUUAAUUAACCGGCCCUAAUAACCAUUUGAUUUUUUUGAUAUAUAUAUGCAUGGCUAUAUAUAUGGUUAAUUAGUAGCAAUAUACCAGAUGCAAAAAUAUCGAUACUUAAGUUCAAAAAUGAUAAAAACUUAUAUUUAGAUCCAUACGGAAAUUUUUGUCAUAAAGAUAAUAUUGCUAGCAUAUUUCAACUAAUUUGUACACAACAUUUUAAACUACUAUAUAUAUAUAAUUAACUUGCAUGUUUAAUAGAUUUUCACUAUAUUUUGUGAUUAUUAAUAUAAAUUUAGGGAAUUUUUUGGGUUUGGUCGGGGUCAUGAUAGGGUUUCUUAAGAGGUUAAUAUUAGAUUGAUUAAUUUUUACGGUAAAUAUAUAUAUUUGUAAAAUAAAUCCAGAUGAUCAAUAAAUUUAAUUAAUAUAUAUUAAUGAAGUUUAGUAUAGUUUAUAUUAUAAUUAUUAAUACAUAUAAUAGGUGCGUGGUAGUUAGAUGAUCAUUUUAUGGAUGCAUGUUAAUUUAUAAUUUGAAGAUUGUUAAAUGAUACAAUUAACUAAUAAUAUAUAGUAACGUUGUAUAUUUAAAAACGUUUAACCGAAAUAUUGAACGGCCAUUUGAUAUUUUUGAUAUAUAUGGAUAUAUAUAUAUAUAGUUAUUAACUAUUUAAUUUGUAUAUAUAGGACCAAAAUAAUCUUGGUAUAAAUAAAUAAACAAAUAAAUAAGUAGGUAAUUAUGUAUUUUUUAAAUAAAUAGGUAAUUAAUUAUUUAAAUGUAAGAUCCACAAAAAAAGAGAGAGAAAUUUAGCGGCGUUUCUAUAGAAAAACGCCGCAAAAGGUAGCCUUUACCGGCGUUGUAGUAAAAAACGCCACAAAUAUUGCAAUAUACGACGUCGUUACGUGUUAGGGAAUCAGUUUCUAUUGUGGCGUUUUAUAGGUAAGCGCCGCUAAUAUUCUUGAUACUCUAUCAGAACGGCGUCGUUUCAGUUGAAUGAUGUACUCUAUUACUGGCGUUUUUCGGGAAAACGCCGCAAAUAUGUCUACAAUUUUGUGAAAACAUCACCGUUUGUUUGUGUAAUUGAAAAUUUGAUGUUUAGGGGUUAGGGGGAUUUAGGGUUUAAGGGUUAUGCUUUAGGGGUUAGGGGAUUUAGGGGUAAGGGGUUAGGAUGGAUUUGGGGUUUAGGGUUUCAACGGUUAUGUUAGAGUUUAAGUUAUUAGAUUAAUUAGUUUUAUUAAUUUUUAUAUCAAAUAUGUUCUUAUAUAUUUUUAAAAUAUAUAAUAAUAAAUUUAAUAUAUUGAAAUUAUGAGUGUAUAGUUUAAAUUUAUUUAUUUAUCAAUAAAUUAAAUAUUAUAAAUUUCAAACUUUAUACAAAAAAAUAAAUAUUAUAAAUGUAAUAUUACAAAUUAAAAGUUUUUACUAUUAAUUAUUGUUUAAUCAAUUAUAACUAUUUUAUGAUUAUUAAAGAUUUAGGGAUUAUUUUGGAUGGCCGUGUUAUUUUAAGGAUUAGGGGGUAUAUAUGAAUUUAAGGUUUAGGAUAUAAGGGUUAGGGGUUUAGGGGUUAUGAGUUACGGGCUAAGGGAUAGUGGUUUAGAAUUUAGGGUUUAGGGUUUCAGGGGUCGGAUAAAGGUUUUAGGUUAGUUUAGAUUAAUUUCUUUAAAUAAUGUUUUAAAAAAUCAAUUUAAAGUACCAAUUGAUAUCAAUUAUAUUAAUGUUUUUGUCAUUUAAAUAUUAUUUUAAAUAGAAUUAAGUUUAAUAAGUUAAAAAAUAGUUUGAAAUAUGCAUUAAAGCUUUAUUAAACGGCGCCAUUUCAGAUUCUAAAUUCAAUUUUUAGUGGCGUUUUUUUGGAAACGCCGCAAAUAUACAAGAAAUAGUGGCGUUUUCCUAACAAACGCCGGAAUGGUGUCUUAAAAUUUUGGCAAAACGACGCCGUUUCUUUCAUCGUGUUUUAACUUAUCAUUUUCUCUAUAAGGCAGAACACAAUAAACACAGAAACAAACAGCCUUCAGACAAAACGGAAGCGAUAGAAAUGAAAGAGAAAAAACAAAGGAAAAAAGGGAGAGGAGAACUCAUAAAUCGGGUGAAACGAAGCAACAACUGAGCCAAUCUUGACAGGAUACUAUCAAAGUUGCGGAAUUUUUGGGGAAAAGGUAAGCUUUUUUUCUUUUAAAAUGAUGUAUCUUGAUUUAGGGUUUGGGUUAAGUGUAAUUUGGUAAAUUGGGGUUUAAAUAAUAAAUUCAAUCACCAAGCUCUGGCCUGUUUGUUUGGGAAUUCGGGGAAUUUGGGAAUUUUUUCGUGUCUAGGGUUUGGGAAGAAGUACCGAUCCUGUGUUUGCUUUCUAGUUUGUUCUUCUCAUUGUUGAAGAGUUAACAUUAACAGUUAACAUUCAGGAGGGACAUAGGCUUCUAAUUUUGUAAGAUGCCAUAAUAAAUUGUGGUUGGGGUAUUCUUUUGCAAAUAAUUUGUUAUAUUUUGUUAACAUGUUGGUAAAUCGAUUAUGUGUAUUGAAGAAGCAAAUCUGUCUUAAAAAAUGUGCUCAUUAUGUAUGUAUAUAUUUACGAAUGAUGGUGACUUGCUCUAAUUUGUUUGAAAUCGAAAUUCAUUUUGAAUUGCGCUUUCUUGAUGCACCAGUAAACUUCGCUGUCAACCGAUAAUUGCUUGGUAUUCUAAGGUUAAUCUUUGGGCACUUAAUUUGGUUAAUUGGCAUUUUAACGCUGACAAGUUAAACUUUAGGUUUGGUUUAUGAGAGAUUGGGUUUGGGGAUUAGGCCUCUUUUGGCGAAAAUAAAAUUACAUAACUCACAUGUUAAAGUUGUAGCUAUUAUUCUUAUGCAUCGUUGGAACAUAUAUUGAGAUUAUCUGGUUGCAAUAUUUUGCAGUGACUACCUAUUCCAGCUUCUGCUUAUUGGAGAUUCUGGUGUUGGAAAAUCUUGUCUUCUUUUGAGAUUUGCUGUAAGUUUCUUGACUUACGUUUCCAUUUGAAAGCAACUGUCUACAUUGUAGACAUCUAUUUUCGUUAUCAUACAUUCUUAGUUUCUUAUAUGAUUGCCCCGAAUGUUUAUAUCCAUGUAUGAUGCUAGAUUGUAAUAAUAUUUCAUUAAAAAAUUGCACUGCAUAUAACGUGUCUUGAGAGAGUGAAAUGUGCACUUCACGAGUUUGGACAUAGGCAGUUGGGGCCUCUGAAUCUUGUCACUAUAUUUAGUUGUAUAUGAAGAUAUCAAACAUGUGGAAUUUUGGAUAUUUCCAGAUGGUUAUGCAGGACAAAAAGUUUGGCCUACACUUCUAUGAAUUUGAAGAAUUUGUGUAUUUUUGUGUUUCAAAACAUUCAUUUUCUUGGAUAGCAAGAUUAUCAUUCAUGUACUGCAAAGAACAAGUUUUAAAGGUCAUUUUUUAUUGGAGUAUUAUUUUUUACUCAUGUUUUUAGUAUAUGGGUUAACAAUAAACUAAUUCAAUUGGUAAUAUUUAGCCACUUUUAUGAUUUAUUUUUAGCAAAAGAGGGGAAUUUUUCGCUUAUUUUGAACAAGCCUCAUUUUUUACAAGAGUUAUUACUCAUCAAGUUUAAAUUUGUACUAACUAUUUUAUUUUAUUUUAUGUCUAACCAUUGUAAUACAUAUAUAAUAAAUAAGUUUUUUCCUCAUAUUAUUACUCUAGUAGCCAAACGAGGCAUUAUUGUGUAAUGAUAGCAAAAAAAAGUACCAAACUUGAAAAUGUUAAUAAUGACGACCAAAAUUUUAGAAGUUUUAAUAACAAUAAUAAUAUAAAGGAGAACACAUAUUCUUGAAAGUUUUAACAACAAUAAAAAAAAGUAAUAAAUUUAUAAGAUAUUGACAUUGAUUUAUUUUUAUUUAGUUAUAGAAUAUUUAAAAGCAUAAUACAAGUUUUAUUAAAAAUUUAAAAGCAAUGGGUUUUUUUUUAGGUUUUAAAUGGGUUUAUAUAUUAAAAAAAUUAAGUUUUUUUUUAAAAUUUUUCAAUCUGCAGUACCUUAUCACUGAUAAUUUGCAUGGUAUUUAUUGCUCUACAUGAUGUUGCUGUCAAUCUCUACAUGCAUAUGGGCACCAAUUCGAGCAGUAAUACCCAUCUCUAAUUACAUAACUUAGUUAAUUAAUAUUAUACAUAACUGACAACUUACAUAACUUAUAACUUACAACUUACAUAACUUACAUUUUUUUAAUUAUUCAUAAAUUACAUAACAUACAUUAAUAUUAUACAUAAAUUACAUAACUUAGUUAAUUAAUAUUAUACAUAAAUUACAUAACUUAAUUUUAUGUUCUUAUACAUAACUUACAUUAAUAUUAUACAUAAAUUACAUAACUUAAUUAAUUAAUUAAUUAAUAUUAUACAUAAAUUACAUAACUUAAUUUUAUGUUAUUAUACAUAACUUACAUUAAUAUUAUACAUAAAUUACAUAACUUAAUUAAUUAAUAUACAUAAGUUACAUAACUUACAUUAAUAUGAUACAUAAAUUACAUAACUUAGUUAAUUAAUAUUAUACAUAUGUUACAUAACUUACAUUAAUAUGAUACAUAAAUUACAUAAGUUAGUUAAUUAAUAUUAUACAUAACUUACAACUUACAUAACUUACAACUUACAACUUACAUAACUUACAUAACUUACAUUUUUUUAAUUAUUCAUAAAUUACAUAACUUAAUUAGUUAAUAUACAUAAAUUACAUAACUUAAUUAAUUAAUUAAUAUUAUACAUAAAUUACAUAACUUAGUUAAUUAAUAUUAUACAUAACUUACAACUUACAUAACUUACAACUUACAUAACUUACAAUUUUUUAAUUAUUCGUAAAUUACAUAACUUACUUAAUUUUCAUAAUAAAUAACUUACAUAACUUGCAACUUACAUAACUUAUACGACAUACAUAACUUACAUAGCAUAAUUUGACUAAUACACAACUUACAUAAUUUUCAUAAUAAAUAACUUACAUAAUACAUAACUUACGUAGCUUAGUUAUACUUAUUCCUAAAUCCUAAACCCGUGCAAUUUAUUCUCAAGAUUAGGCUUCAAGAAAUAAGAAAUGGACCGGUCUUGGAUGAAUUUGUCAAGGGUAAGCGACGGUUAUCGAAAUGGAGUACAAACUUUUCUAGAUUUUGCAUUUCAACAUGCAAGCCAAGAGAACAUGAUUCUUUGCCCGUGUAAGAAGUGUGUCAACAUAAACUGGCAUUAUCGUGAAGUUGUAUACGAGCAUCUAAUUGUUGAUGGGUUUGUUCGUGGUUAUAAACAAUGGUUUUUUCAUGGAGAAUGCCCGCCUAGUACUUCCUCUUCAAGGAUGGAUGUAUCUUAUGAUAGUACUGCCUACCAUCAGUCUGUUAGAGGGGAUGACAUGGAAGGGAUGUUGCGUGAAGCAUUUAAUAUUCAGAGUCAUGGUUUACAGUCGUUCCCACCUGACUUUCUACCAUCUGAUGAUUGUAAUCUCGGUGGAAAUGCUGGUGCCCAACCCGGAAGAAGUGUACAUCAUGAAGAGCCGAAUGGAGAAGCGGUAAAGUUCUACGCGCUACUUAAUGAGAUGAACGAAGAACUAUAUGAGGGAUCAAAAUUUUCAAAAAUGUCAUUCUGCAUUCGUCUUUUCCAGUUAAAAUGUUUGGGAGGGUGGACCGGGAACUCAUUGACAAUGCUGUUAGAGUUUUUGAGAGAAAUGUUUCCGUUUGCAAAAAUCUCUCAGUCUUGCAAAGAUAUGAAGAAAAUUAUAAAAGACUUAGGUCUUGGGUACAACAAAAUCCAUAGUUGCCCAAAUGAUUGUAUGUUGUAUUGGGGCGAUCGGAGAAACCAACAGUGUUGUUAUGAAUGCGGUGAAUCCCGUUGGAUAAAUAGAAACACAGAAGAUGGGAACGACGAUAUAGUGCGUCAAUAGGUUUGGAGUGGGAAGAACGUCACUGACGAAGUUAAAUGGCUUUCCUAAGGUCCAAAUCGGGUGGUUAAAAGAUAUAGUGCGUUCCUCAUAAACGGAUUCAGAUUUCAUACAAAAUAUCGCGAGAGAUUGAAGAGAACGCAAAAUUGUGGAAUAGUGGUUAAUUCCUCAAUUACAAGUUAUGCUAGUGCUAGGGACAAUAAUCCUGUGGAGGAAAAUGUGGAAUAUUUUGGACUUCUUACUGACAUAAUUGAGUUGGAUUACUACGGCAAAUGGAAAGUUGUCUUAUUUCGAGGUGAUUGGACCGAUGUUAAUACUGCACGUGGAAUCAAGCAAGAUCAAUUUGGUUUCACAAUGGUAAACUUCGAUCGAUUGAUUCACACAGGACAACAAUUGAUUGAUGAGCCGUAUGUAUUUUCUUCUCAAGUCAAACAAGUUUUUUACUCAAAAGACCCAACUGAUGAGGGUUGGUACGUUGUACUCCGUAACAUCCCUAGAGACUUGUUUGACAUGGGCAGUGGAAGUAGAGAUGACAUUGACGACAGAACACAAACUUUGCCAUUUCCAGAACAGAACUUAAACGAAAACAUCCCUGGUACUAGUACACAAUUUCAAUGGGUCCGCCAGGAUACGGAUGAAGAGACUUACGAAUUAUAAUGUAGUAAGCUUUUACGAUUAUCUAAUUACAUCUACGAAUGAUGAUAUUUCAACUAUUUUAUAUGGGAUAUUAUUGUUGUAAUUGUAUAGUAAGUUUUCAACUAAUUUAUUUGUAUUGCAGAUAAAAUGCCUAGAAGAAAAGUGCGAUCGCACCGCAUUGUUCAAGGUACUCCAAACUCGGCGGAAACAAACAACACUGAACAACAGACUGCUAUUGGAUCUUCGAAUGUUCCGGUUACACCUGAGGAACCUAUAGAAGUUCAAAGUAAUUUAACAUUUAAUUUACAUGUGUGUUGACUUCUUGUUUUUUUUUUUAAAUUUCGUAUAUUACAAUACUUUUAUUUUUCAGAUGAAAUUGGUGGGACGCGAAGAGGUCGCGGACGUACGGUAUUGAGCGAUUUAUACGACCUAGAUCUAGUCGAGCGUGUCCAAGUAUCCAGUAAUAGCUUUGGUCAGCCUGUUGGAUCAGAAGCUCGCCUUUUAGCAGGAUACAUGGGCAUUCUAGCACGGAAUGCAAAUAUGUUGCCAAUUAACUUCGACUCAUGGCAUAAAGUGCCCGAGAGUAACAAGAACCAAGCUCUCGAUAACAUUAAGGUAACAAAACGUGUAUGUCAUUUAUAAUACUUGGGUUUAAGUUUCGUUUACAUUUACUUUCUUAAGUUGUGUUUUUUGUAGGCGAGAUUUGCUCUAGAGGUCUCCGAUGCUUAUGUAAAGAAGGCAUUGGGAAAAAGAUGGAGAGACCAUAAGAGCACUUUAAAGAAAGACUAUUUUAAGACAAAAACAACACUGGACGAGAGAUUACAAAAUGUCCCGCCGGGAAUGCUGAGGUACCAGUGGGAAGAGGUCGUUAGAUUUUGGGCUUCAAAGAAAGGAGAGGUAUGUGUAACGUAUAAAAUUUUGAAAUUAUUUUGGUGUAUAGUAUUUCCUAAUUAAUGUACUAAUAAUUUCAUAAUGUAGGAUCGUGAAGAAGUUGGAAAAAAAAGUAGGCAGCAACAAAAAUUCACUCACACAGCUGGGUCGAAAAGUUUUGCGUGUGUAGCUCAUGCAGAGGUAUUUUCAAUUUUUAUAUAUUGGAGGAUGAUAACUACUUACUUACAUUAAUAUUUUACUAUUGUAUUGUAGGAACUGUCGUCCGGUCAAAAAGUUGGACGCCUUCAACUUUUUGACAUUACACAUAGGAAGAAAGAUGGAAACCAUAUGACUCCUGAAGCUGCAGAAAUUAUGGUACGUUUGCUUAAUUAAUACAAUUUCACUUGUUUUAAUUAUUUAUAGUGUUUAUUUUCUAAUGAUUUAUUUCAUUUUUUGUAAUGCAAAUAUUGUUAAGUUAUGUUGCAUUGGGUUUUUUAAUAUAUAUUGCGUUCCUAACUAUUUGAUUUAUUUUUUAGGAAAAAUUAAGGAUAACAAGGUGGAGUACGAAGCGAUUGCUUCCAGUGAUAGUUCUGUUCAUAUUGACGACAUUGAUAACCGGAUUAUCACUGAAGUUUUGGGUCCUGAAAGGUAUGGUCGGGUUCGAUUUCAAGGAUCUUUUGUUAACCCAUCCCAAUUUUUUGGAUCUAGCUCGCAACAAUAUAUGCCUUCGGGGAGUCGAGCCGAAGCUGAAGUUCAGAGGUUAAGAGACCAGAUGGAUCGUAGCAAGCGACAACAAUUGAGCAAAUUACACAACUUAAAGCGGAGGCAACAUCGAGAGAAGCUGAGGUUCAAAAAAGAUAUGAAGAACUCCAGCUACAACUGAAAGCAGAUGCAGCAGCGAGAGAAGCUGAGGUUCAACGAAAGUAUGAAGAACUCCAGCAGCAGCUUAAAGCAGAUGAGGCAGCAAGAGAAGCAAAGGCCGCAGCGAGAGAAGUACAGGCUGCAGCGAGGGAAGCAGAAGCUAAAGCGAGGGAAGCAGAGGCUGCAGCGAGGGAAGCAGAGCAGCGUCAAAAGUUCGAUGAACUCCAGCAGCAGCUUCAGAGUAUGAUGAAGAUGUUUCAGCAGUCGCAACAGCCGCCGUCUUAGACUAUAGUGUAAAUAUACUUCGAUUUUGACUUUUAAUUAUCAUUUUAACUUUUAACAUUUUUGUAAGAAUAAUACGAUUUUUAUUUUAUUUAUUGAUAUUUAUUAUAUUAUUUGUUUAAUAUAUUGAUUUAUUACUUUUGGCUGCUUUAGAUAUGAUUUCUUUUGAUUUGUUUUUACAGGAGGGCUGAAAAUAUAAAAAAUUUUAUUUUACAAAUCUGCCAAAUUUAGUACCGUUUUUAAAAAAAACGCCACUAAAGGUGUUGGCCUUUAGUGGCGUUUUUGGUCAAAGCGCCGCUAAAGAUAAGGGUCUUUAGCGGCGUUUGUGGAAAAAGCGCCACUAAAGAUCAUAGUCUUUAGUGGCGUUUGUGGUCAAAGCGCCGCUAUAGAUCAGGGUCUAUUACGGCGUUUGAGGGGAAAGCGCCGCUAAAGACCCUGAUCUUUUGUGGCGUUUUUGGGAGAAGCGCCGCUAAAGAUAAGGGUCUUUAGCGUUGCUUCCACUAAAGCGCCGCUAAAGGUCUUAGUCUUCAGCGGCGUUUGUGCAAGAUGCACCGCUAAAGAUCAGGGUCUUUAUCAGGGUCUUUUAUUUUUAAAGAAAAUCUUCAUUUCGAGAAGGUAAUAUGUCAUGCCCAAUACGUUAGGACACCACAAAUUAAGUUCCCGAAAAUGAUUUUUACUUAUACAUUUUGAAUAACGAAUAUUCUCGGUUAUUUGGAAUUAACAAAGAAAAUCGAAACCCAAUACGUUAGGGCUCAAUUUCCUCGAAAGUUCCUAACUUUGAAUAUCGUUUUUAUUUUAAAAACCUUUGACAAAAUCAAAAUAUAUUUUUAAAACAUAUGUUUAAAAAAAAUGAAUGCAAUAUGAAACAAAUAUUUUAAUUUUAAUCAUAUGUAUACAUAAGUAUGACAUAUAAAUAAUUUUUGCAAAUAUGUAUAUGGAUAUGAGAGGAAAAAAUGCAUAAAUUUUAUAAAAUGUCAAUGCAUAUAUCUAUAUGAAUACAUAAGUCAUAAGAAUAAAACCAUAAUAAAAUACACAUAAAAUAUAUUCAUGUAUUUAUAAAAAAAUGUAUAAGCAUAAUAUAUUGGUAAAUAUAAAAAUAUAUAUUUAUAUUUAUAAUAAGUUUUGAAUAGAGUAUAAAUAUAUAUGUACAUAUUAUAAAAAUGUAUAAACAUAUACAAAUUAUAAAACAUGGGAAACGUAUAAAUGUUAUAAAAUAUAAAUGUAUAUACAUAUAUAUAUAAAAACUAUGAAAAUAAAAUAAUAAAUAGAAAAAAAUAUGUAUAGGUAUUUAAAAAAUUUUAAAAAUAUAUAUAUUAUAAAAUACUCAUGCGUGUAUAUGUGUAAGUAUAAUAAUAAUAUAAUAAUGAUAAUAAUAAUAAUUAUUAUAAUUAUAACCACUAUAUUAAUAAAAUAAACUAAAAAAAACUUAAAACGAAAGAUCAUGGAUUAAAUUGAAAAUAACAGAAGUUUCAGGGGCAAAUUUGAAAUAAAUAAAACAUCAAUGGAUCAAAUAGAACAUGCAGUUAACAGUGGAGGACCGAAAGUGAAAUUAAUCCAAACCUCCCAAAACUCCACGCAACAAUGGAUUAAAAUAAAACAAAUUCAGCAUUUCUUGGAAAAAUUUGAAAACAAACAACAAUGAUUUUGAAAUGAUGGGAUAAAAUGGAAGGAUUAAAAACGUAAAUAUCCCAUCAGUGCUUAAAACCCUUUUCAAUCUCAAAUUUAAACGCUAUUCUGCAGCAGCAAUAGCCGCAAAAACUGUUUCAUCUCCUUCCCAACUCUUCACGCCAAAACCUUUAACUUUGAUUUGGACAAAACUAAGCAAACGAUGCCGACGGCGCGCCUCUGCUGGUAAGAAUCUCCUCCCUUUCUUUUACUAUUCAUUUUUUUUCAAAAAAAUGAAGUAAAAUACAAAAGAAAUAUGAGAAAAAAAAUAGAAACAGUAAAAACUUGGAAAGAACAAAUCACCUUCAAAAAUUUGUUUUUUCCGAUUCUUUUCUUUCGUAUUUCAGUAUUUUUCAAUAUAUGUGUGUAACCCUUUUACAGAUUUGAUUUGGCUUUAUAUAGCUGAAACAACGGAGAAAGAAACUAUCGAAAAAACUCUCCUCCUUUUGUCGUAAUUUCUGCUAUUAUUUCUAUUCGUGGUUCAUGGCUUGUUGCAGGUACGGGCAUCGUGCGAAGCUACCAGACGUGGGUGAGACGACGUGGGCAGUUGCUAUGCGUUCGUGCGUGCGUGAAGACGGUUGCUGCAACGUGGGGGCGAGGGUGACGCCGAUCCGCUGCUUAUUGCCAAAGGUUUCUGCUGUUCAUUUUUUUGUGUUUUAGGCUAGUGGGUUAGGUAUUUGGGUUGUUUGGGUAUUGGGCUUGUAAUUUAGUUAUUGGGUCAGGGUGUUAUUGGGUUUAAAACUGGGUUUAGUAAUAGGCUAUUAUAUAUAUAGCCAGGCCAAAAUUGGCCUAUUACAAUAAUUAUUGUAAAUAAAUUAUUCUUUUUGUUUAGUGUGUAAUUGAAUUUUUAAGGAAAGAUUUAGAAAGGAGGGUGGUUUAGUUAAUAUAUAAGAGCGAAGUUGCAACUUGAUAAAUAAGUUUAACUUAAAUCAAGUAUUAUAUUGUAAAUUGAUAGUGAAUUAAUUUCUAGGUAAGACCACACAGGCAUAGGAAGUUUUCUAUCUAUGUAUUUUUACUUUAUUAGUUAGUGAUGCCAGUUACGAGCAUAAAAUGUUUCCACAUAAUCAAUUGUGUUCAUCUCAAACUUUUAAUGUGCUAAUUAAUAAGGCUUAUUGUAAUUGAAUGCGUAGUUGAAAAUCAACCUUUAUGUGAAACACAUUUUUUUGAACCUAAUAUUGGGAUAAAUCUCAAAAUUAUAUAUGAACUUUGAUUUAAUGUGUAAUUGUAUAUAUGAACUUUAAUUUGGUGUAGUUAGACACGUGAAAUUUUGAUUAUGGUUCAAAUGUGUAUUUGAAAUUUUAAUUUUGAUUUAAUCAUAUACACACUUAAAGAAAUAGAUAAAUCAAUCUAUUGUUAUAUUAGAUAAAUAUAAUUAUUUAUAUAUGCAAUAUAUAAACAUAAAAUGAUGUCAUAUCAAUUAUUGUGUUAAUAAUUUACGAGAAUUGGAUCAAAUCAAAAUUUCAUGUAUAAAAUUGCACAAAAUCAAAGUUCAUGUGUUAAACCAUAGUUCAUGUAUAGUUUUGAGAAUUAUUCCUUCAAAUUAGUAUCAUAUUGUUUGAUUAAAUUCCUAUAGAAAAUUAAAAAAAUUAAACUAUUACAAAACAACUAUUUUGAAUUCUUUUUCUUAUUAAUUUAAAAAUAUACAGACCUAAUCUUUGAAUAAAUAAAAUAAUGUAAUGUAAGAUCUUUCAUUAAAUGAAAAUUUUUGCACCUUGUUUUUUCCGGCUUGGACAUGCCAUCAAUAAUUUUCAAACUUGGGUAGUCCAAAUACGUUGGUCACAUGACCAAAGUCCCAGAAAAUCUAGUCCAAGAAUUGGAAAUACGGGCUGAACAAACCAAAAGAGAUAGCUUUGUCAGUUCCAUGUCCCAUGGAGAUGUCCAUUUUGAAUCAUUAGCUUUUUUUUUGUAUUUUUUAUUUUAAUACAUAUGUUUUGACUUUUAAUUUAUAAUUAAUUUAUACUUUUUUUAUAUUUUUAAAUCAUUUUUAUAAUUUUUUAUCCAAAAAUGUUUUUUUUUAAAUAUUUUUCUUUUUUGUUAAAAAAAAACUUUUAGAAUUAGAAUUAAAUUGAAAUUUUUUUUGUAAACAUCGAGGGUUAAAUUUGUUAAAUUUUUUAAAUUUAAGAUCAAAUUGAUAGAAUAUGUAAACAUUAAAGAGUUACAUUUAUUAUUAAACCAAUAAAAAAUACCCAUGCCAACUUUCCUUCACCCAUUUAAUGAUAACUAAUUGGAGAAUAACUAAAAUAUUCGAUUUUGAAAAGUUAAGUAACUAAAAUGAAAAAAAUUAAUAGUUAGGUGACCAAAAUAAAACUAAAUGUAUAAUUGAAUGACUUAUUUUAUAAUUUAUCCUAUUUAUCAUAUAAUAGUCCUAGAAAAGUGAAUUUUAUAUAAUAUUUAAAUGAAUUUUAAACCAUAAAAAAAUUAUUCAUAAACAUAAAUAAAUUCUGACAUUUUAAUAAACAAACAUGAAAAUAUUAUUUAUAUUCAUUUAUAUAACUUAUAAACGAAUAUAAACCCAACAACUCAUUUGACGUGAAUCGUAUAUCCUUCCUCUAAAAUGUCGCUUUAAUUAAAUAUCAUGUCAUCAAGGACAUGCACGUUAAGUGCUUUGAACCAACGAAGUUGUUAAUCACGUGUUGGGACGACUCCAAUCAAUUAAGUACAUACAACUUUAUCAAUUGUGUCAAAAUAUCAUUUGCGGAUAAUUAUAUACAUAAUUAAUAAAUGAAAAAAUUUAUUAUUUUUAUCUAAAACUAUUCAUUACACUAUAAAUUUUUAAAGUUUCACAAAUAAAAUUUAAGAUUUUAAUAAAUAAGACAUGUUGUAAUAUUUGUUGAAUUAAAAUAUUCUACCAUAUCAAGUUCUAAUCCAUUUUUUAUUUCUUAAAUAUAAUAUAAAAAUAGUUUAAUCCAUAAAUUGGUAUCUAAAUUAUAUAUUUUUUUCUCUUUUUGGUAUCUAAACUUUUUCUUUGGUCACAAGUGAUAUCUAAAUUACUUUUUUUUUCUUCAAGUUGGUAUUUUUGUUAGUUCAACCGUUAGGUCUAUUUUAAAAAAAAAAAAGACUUAGCCCACAAGUUAGUAUCUAAAUUAUGUUUUCCAAAAGUUCUUUCAUCGUUCAAAAUCAAUGUUUUCAGAACCGGAUCAACUAGUUGGAUUGAAAUUUGGUUGAGGUACGAUAGAGGUUGAAUAUAAAGACAAAAUAAUAUUUUUUUGGUCUUUAUUCUACAUGACAAUUUUUAAUUGGUUAUCUUUUUAUUUUCUAAAAUGGACUUAACAAUUUAAUUAACGGUUGAACUAAUAAAGGUAUCAACUUGAAAAAAAAAUUAGUUUAGGUAUCACUUGUGAAAAAAAAUGUUUAGAUACCAAAAUAAGAAAAUGACAUAAUUUAAGUACUAAUUUGUGGGUUAAGCCUAUAAAAAAAUUGUGAUUGGCAUCUUACACUCGCUUGUAUUUUUUCAAACGCAAAUAUAUUCAAAGUAAAAUGAUUAAAUUUAAAAUGUAUGAUGACUUAUUUGGCUCUCGAAUUUUACAAAAAAAAAAUCAUUUUAGCUAUUCAUUUAAUUUUUUUUGCCUCUUUUAGUCCUUGAACUUGCAUUGUUUGUCAAACCAUCCAAAAUGGAUGAUCUAUUAACUUUACUAAUGGGGCAUCCAUAUGGCAAUCAUGUAUAUGCCACAUCAGCAAUUAAUUAAUUUUUCAAAAUUUAAAAAAUAUUAUUUUUAUAAUUUUUAUACUUUUGUACUAAUUUUACUUUUUUUAUUUAAAAAAAUUAAUUAAUUGCUAACAUAACAUAUGUGUGACAAUUUACGUGUAUGCCACAUCAACAAAGUUAACAUACAUUAACUUUUUCAUCUAUUUUGAGGUGAUUAGAUAAAUAGCAAAAAUUUAAAGACUUUUAAGAGAAGAAAAACUAAAUACAAGAUUAAAAUAAAUAUUUUUUAUAAAUUAGGCCAAAUAAGUUAUUAUUACUUAAAUUAAACUAAAAUCUUUUGAUAUGCAUCAUUGAAGAACUACCUUAUGGAAAAGGUUUUAAUUAACAACUUAAUCAUUUAAUUUCUCUUAGAUAAAUAAAUUAUAUUUGUCUCACUUCGCUUUUGAUUUUCAAUUAAUAUGGUAAGAAUUAGGUUGGUGGUUAAAUAAUUAAUUUAAGAUUUAAUUAAUUGAAUUAGUUUAAUUAUAAAAAAAAAUUCAAAAAAUUAAAUAUUGAAGUUAACUUCGACGUGAUCCAAAAUGUUUUUAAAUGAUUUUUCGUCACCACUUUAAUCAAUUUUUUGUUGGUUCAUUUUUUUCCAAUCCUAAAUAAAAAGAAUAAAAUGUAAUAUAAUUUUAAUAUAAAAUUUCCAUAAUAUUUUUACUAAAUUUAUGUCAUUUUCGUACAUAAACAUAUCGACAGUGCAUAAGAAGAAUCACGCAUAUCUCGUGACACACGAAUGACCCUACCUUGAAAAUAAAUACCUUUGAAAACAAAAUAAUUUUCCAAUCACACAAAUAAUUCUCGCAUAGACAGCAAUAGAUGACUAAAAGAGCACCACACAAAUAUAUUGAUUGUAAUAACCACCUAAUUUUUUAAAAAAAGUCCACUUGUACACGAGAUUUGGAAUUAAAGAUUUUGGUGGGCUUUGUAUUAUUAUUGUUGUAAUAACAAAAAGAAAUUGAGUUUUUUUUGAAGGUUACAUUAAUAAUAGAAAUUGUAUUAAAAUAUAUUUUUGAUGUGGGUUAAUUAUUUAUAAAUGUAAGUAAAAUUUGUAUUUUUUUUAUAGGGAUGAAUUUGAAUAAUUAUACGUGAGGUUUUUGAGAUGCCAACAAAAGAUUUAAUCAUUGCAAUCUCUCCACCUUAACCACAGAAAAAAAAAAAAGAAGAUCAAAUUCUAUUAACUCUGACUCAUAGUGAUCAUUUAUCAAAGAAUGAUUGAAUAACUGGGACUAAUUUACUUACGAUACUUAAUUGGCAUUCAUAAAAAAGUAUCUAAUGAAUUACGAGUUAAAUACAUCCUGUUUAGCAGAAAGGCGAAUAUUCCUUGCUCAUUAUCAGACAAUCACUUAUUCACAAACUUCGUUUGGGGCUAAUAGUUUUCAUUUCCCACCUCGUGGAAAACCCUUUUCACUCCGUUUAGCCCUAUCUCCCUCUAAGAGUAUUUUAGCGAUAGGUUUUAUAGGAACCGUACGAUCCUAUUUGUUCAAAUACCUAGCGACAAACUCCUAUGUUCCUUUCAUUACAGUAUUUUUGAACAAGUUCCUGGAUAACAAGCUUCUGGAUAAUAAGCUUAAAGGUUUUCUUAUUGAUGAUAUCGAUAUUGAUAAUAGUGACGAUAUUGAUGCUAGUGAUGCUAUUGAUCGUGACCUUGAUACGGAACUGGAGCUUCUAACUAUGGUGAAUGUGUUAACAUGGUUAUGAUGUCGGAAAUAGACCGAUUUUAUCUCACCCUUCAAUUCGAACUAGCAAAAGCAGUGUCUCCUUGCAUAAUAUGGAUUCGUAUUGUUGAUAAUAAUCAUACGUGAUGUUAAUAUUAUACAUAAGUUCGGUUAUAAUUUAAAUUGGUCAUACCACGAAGACCUCUAAAUUGAAAAAAAAAAUUAUAUAUUUCAAGCAAUUAUAGUUAGUUUUUUUAUAUAUUUUCAAGGAGAUUAUAAGUAUAACCACAAGAAUAAAUUAUAAAAUAUACAUUUUCGAUAAAUUAAAACUAGAACAAAUUUAAUGUUAAACACAACAGACUGAAAAUUGAAAUAUAAUUGAGCAAGGGAUGACGUCCCUUCUAACCAAGGGCGGGAUAAUGUGAGUAAGUACAUAUACUGACUUACUUAAAAAUGGUGGAAUUGUGGUUUAGUCUUAUAGAAAUUGUAAAGUUACUAGCAACCCACAUAACUAUAUAUUCAUAUGGUACACGGUAAAAGAAAUAAAAAUUAUUUAAGCAAUGAAAUUUUUUGAAAAAAAUAAUAAUUAUUAAUAAAGUAAAAAAAUGUGAAUACUUUUAUUAAAUAGAUUUUUUUUGGGUAAAAAAAAUUCUACAGUUUCUCCCAUUUUUUUUGAUGAAUUGCAAUAACAAUACAAAUCUCAAACAAUAAACACGAUUAACACGACUCAAAUCCAGGCCGCACCUAGGGCGAUGAACACCCUUGACCAUCAGGCCAUCACAUGAGGUUCACCAAUUUUGAUAUUAAGCAAAAUUUUCCUUUUAAGAAAUCAAAGUAAUUUAACAUCUAUCAAUUUCAAAAAGUGAGUAACUAAAGAUAAUUAAUCAUAAUGUUAAUGUUUUUUUCAUAAAUUGUAUAUACUUUUAUCAAUAUGAUAAAAAAAUAGCCCUCAAAAUUUACACAUUCUGUCAAUUUAGUUUUGAUUUAAUAAAUUUAGUUUACAACAUUUACACAUUCUGUCAACAUUUACACAUAAUAUAUAAACAUCAAUAACUAAAUCUAUUGUUAUAUUAAUCAAAUUUAUGUACAAUUGAUAAAAAAAUUAGAACUAUAAUUAAUUAUCCUAAAAUUAAAUGAUUCCAAUUUAAUAGUAUAGAUAGGUACUUUCCUUUUUAAGAUCACAAACAUUUACUGGGAAUUAGGUAUUAGAAUUGUCGGAGGUUACCAUAUUUUGAUGUGAUGGAACAUUAUUAAAUAAGAGGAAAAUGUUAUCAAUUAAAUGCCACGAAUCAAUUGGACGACUUAAUAGAAAAAAAAACUAAAAAAUUAAUGCUUUCUAUAAAGUAAUAUUUUUAUAUUUUAUAUAAAAUCAAUAAAAGUGAUUUAAAUUUAAUCAUUGUAAUUUUUAAACUGUGAAUUUGACAAUUUCAACUAUAUUAUUAUUUGAUUCAUAUAUGUACAAGCCUAAUUUUUAUGCCCGGGCCCACUACCCAAUAAACCUAACCCAACUACCAUAAACCCAAACCCGGAGCCCAAUAUCAGGCCCAACAGACCCAGAAACCAAAGUCGGCCUAGGGUUUCAGAAACUGAAACUCUAGGCGCCGCACCUUGCUUCAGACUCUUGGUCUCCUAAGCGCCGCCUGGUUCAGACCUUUGGUCUUCUAUUUCCACUCGUUUUGACCCUUGAUCUCCGAGCCGCCGCGCGUCUGCCGCCACCAUCACAUCAACCGUCGCCCAUCAACCUUGCAAAACGGAGAACUCGCAGGCAACAAAAUAAUACAAAAAAUAGCAUGUAAAUAGCAACCAAUCGCCUAUAAAAAGCUGAACACCAUCGUUGUAUUUUUUUUACAACGAUUAGUGAAUGAAAAGCAGAUCAAAAAUUAAAAAAAAGGUUGACUCCAGUUCUCUUUUCAAUUCUUGCACCCUUUAUUUUAUUUUAUUUUAUUUUUGCUUGUUUCACUACUCUUUUAAACAAAAAAAACGAAAUGAAAGAGAGAGACAGAAAGAUGCCUGUCCGCUUCAAAGAUCGGCGUCGUCGCCUAUCUUUGCCGUCGUCUGAGUCGAACGCGGGAAAGGGCCCUUUCUUUCUCUUGAUCCCACGGUUGAGAAGGCCAAGCCUUUGAGGACACCGAAAGGAGGGCUAAAAGGCCCAUUUCGCGCAACUCCGGCCACUGGCCGUGGAGGUAGCGCGGCGGUGGCCAAAAUCCGGGGCCGGAAGUCGUAGGGGGCUUGAGGGGAUUCUCUGUUUCUUUCUUUUAUUUUUGCGGCUGAUUAAUGAAAUUUAUGUUUUUUUUUAGUUUUAUAACAUCUAAAACGACGCUGUUUAAACCCCCAUGAUCUGCGCGCGAUCCGACCCGCUCUAGGGGGGAUCCGCGUGUUUUCAUGAUAUGGGCUAUUUGCGGGCAAGACCCCUCCUAUUUUGAGCUGUAGUGCAAUCGGGUCUUUGUGGUUUUCAUACUUUGGCCGCAUAAUUUUCUGAUUGUUUCUUUUUGGUCCGGAUUGAAACGCUGUGUUUGAGGGCUAGGAAUAUUACCCAGUCGAUCCCUUGUCCUUUAAGAGCAUUUCAUUUUGGUCCCGAGCCACCUUCUUUGUUCAUUUGCGAUUCUGACCCCUAAAUUUCGGUCCGUUUUCAAUUUGGUCCUUAAUCUAUUUAUUCAUUUAUUUUUUAUUUUAUUUUAUUAAAAAAGAAAACAAAAUAAUUUUAUUUAAUACUUCAUUUAAUGUUAUUUACUUACUUUCGUUUUUUUAUUUCCCUUUUUUGGUCAACAUUACAUAGGUUUUAUUUUAUUUAUUUAUUCAUCUUUUUAUUUGAUCCUUUUAUUAAUUUUAACCGAUUAUUAUUGCAAUCUUAUUCUAUUAUUUAUUUUUUAUUUUCACGCAUUUUUAAUAUUUAGUUUUAUUAGUAUUGUUAUUUCGUUAUUGUUAUUGUUACAUUAUUACUUGCAUUAUUAUUAUUCAUAUAUUGGCACUAAUAUUUGUUAGUUUAAAUGUUGUAUGUAUAUGUUGACACCUUUUUUUGGAUGAAAACGGGGUCGACUUGGGUUUUGAAAACGAAAAUGAAAAAAACGGGAGUCGCCACCAAUCAUUUUUUAUAAGGUGUGAUUGGAUCACCUCGAAAAGUGGUUGUUUUUAAUAAAAGAUUUGAUUUUAUUAAAACCACGAGUUUGGUCCACGAAAUUCAAAAAAAUGGGUUCGGGAGUCGGUUACGCACGAGGAAGGAUUAGCACCCUCGAUACGCCCAAAAUUGGUACCUAGUUGAUUACUUAAUGUCUUAGUGUCGAAAAACUGAAAACUUUAAAGAAAUUUAAAAUACGAUCCUUAUUUUGAAAGAAAAUUUAUAAAAAUCGAGCUGCUCGUUAAGACUUUUUAUUUCAGAAAGAGAAAAUGUCACACCCAAUACGUUAGGGUACGAUAUCUUAUCUCUUCAGAAAUGAGCAAGUCUAAACUCACAUAGAAAAGUUUAAAAGAGUGUUUGAUUGUUUAAGUCAUAAAAAAAAUUGUAACCCAAUACGUUAGGGUAUAAUUUCUUCAAAUGUUAAACAUUGAAUAUUUUAUUUAUUUUGAAAAAUUCUCGUCUCGAAGAAUCAACGUAUCAUGUCCAAUGCAUUAGGACACGACGUAUUGAAUUCUCGAUAAUAAGUUUUAUUUAUGUCCUUUUUUAAAAAAGAUUAACCUCGAUUGUUUAGAUUCAACGAAGAAAAUCAAAACCCAAUACGUUAGGGCUCGAUUCUUUCGAGGAUCUCAAAUACCGAUUGUUACUUUUAUUUUGAAAUUUUCCGUUUUUUGAUAAAUCCAAGUAGAAGUAGGUGUAAAAUAACAAUAAUGAUGCAACAUAAAUAAAAUAAUACAAGCAAAAUAAGAAAAGAUAAAUAAAUAAAAUGUCAAACAUAUAAUAAAAGGAAAUCAAUAAUUAAAAGUAAACAAAUAAAAAAAAUUAAAGCACUUAAAUAAAAUAAUAAUGAUAAUAAGCAUGUAAAUUAAAACAUUCGUUCAAAAUAAUAAUGAAAAUGAAAUAAAUAAAUAGUAAAUACAAAAUAAAACAAUAGUAAUGAAUAAAAAUAUAAUAUAUAUGUAUUUAUGUUAGAAUUAUAAAGUAUUAAAAUAUACAUAUGUAUAUAAGAAUAUGUAAGCAUGUAUAUAUACAUAGAUUAUAAAAUAUAGAUAUGCAUAUAAAAAUAAGUAUUUGUAUUAAAUAAGUUGAAAAAAAUAUAUAUACGUAUAUAUAUAAACAAUUAUAUAAUAAUCAUAAUAUAAUAAAACAAAUAUAUCUAAAAUUUACAUAAGUAAAUAUAAAUAAAAACAUGACAAUAAUAACAAUAAUAUUAAUAAAUAUACUAAUAACAAUAGUGAAGAUGAUAAUAAUAAUAAUAAAAUAAUGAAGAAAAUAAAAAAACUAAAAAGGGGACUAAAUCGAAAUAAAAACAAAAAAUAGGCGAAUUUGAAAUAAAAAAAGACGGGAAGAACCAAAUUGCGACGCGCGCUGAAAGAGGGGGGACCAAAAUUGUAAAUAAACCAAAGUCCCAAAACGCUACGCUGCAAUGGACCAAAUUGAGACAAAAAUAAAAAUUAUGGGGCUAAAUUAAAAAUAACAGAAAAUAGCGAAGAGGGCCGAAUUGCAACGCGCUUCAAAGUCGGAGGGACUGCGCGUGCAAAUAUCCCAUUUAAAGAAAACACGCGGAUCCUCCCCCUGGAUCGGGUCACCGCGCGGGUCAGAGAAGCCUAAAACGAUGCCGUUUUGUGGGGGUUAUUUAAACCCAAACUUCUGAAAAAAAACCACUCCAGCCACCAAAGAAAGAAAGAAAAAAUUUAAAAUAAAAAAACUCCCUAUUCCUCUCAAAAGUCCGGCCUUUCGGUCAUAUCAGCGCCGCCAUUGCGCCACCACGGGCGGUGGCCGACCUCGCGCAAAGGCGGUGUUCUAGACCCCGUUUUUGGACCCAAUCAAAGGCUAUACUCACUUAGCCCGAAGGCCAAGUGGAAGGGCCCCUCAACUCGACCUUUCGGGGCCAAUUUCCUCGACGGACAGACUCCGACGGCGGCGCAACCGAAAGGAGAAACGGUAAGUUUUCUUCCCUUUCCUUUUAAAUCGUUUUUAUAGAUAUAUAGAAAGAAAAUAAAAAAAGUAAAUAAAAUAUAAAAAAACGAACAGAUCUAUAAGACAAAAAAUAUCACCUUAAAUUUUUUCUAUUCUCUGUUUUUUUUGUUACAGAAAUUGCUAGAAAAAGAAAAGGGUUACAUUUUGUUGGCUUUUAUAGCCGAUUUUUGUUACUGUUUUGGUCGCUUCUAUUGUUUUCUUUGUUUUUGUUUCUUCUUUGCAGGUGACGGCGCAAGUGGAGGGUUGACGUGACUGCGGGCGGCGCCGAUGGGACGGUGGCGGCGUCAGAAGGCCAAGGGUCAAAGGCUAAGGAGGAGGGCGGCGCCUAGGGUUUCAGAAACUGAAACCCUAGACAGAUAUUUUUUUAGGAGAUUGGGCCUUAAACAUUGGGCCUCGGGUUUGGGUUGCAUUGGGCUCCGGGGUUGGGUUCAAAUGUAAAUGGGUUUUUGGUUUAAUUGCUUUGGGCUGAGGGUUAAUGGGUUAAUUUAAUUGGUUUGGUGUAUUGGUAAGGUUAAUUGGGUUGUAUUGGGUUUUGGGCUAAAAUUGGGCUUGUACAUCUGUCCCUCUUUGCUCGUUGUCGUGUAACGAUAACAGAGCAAAGACUAAGAAAGACCAAUUUUUGCCCGGUCUUGCCGAGGAAAUAAGAUUCGCCGUUGCGGUUUCAAUAUUUUGAAUUGCAAUGUCGGGGAAGUGAGAUUCGCUGUUGUAGCUUCAAUCUGCUCCGCUGCAUCACCUGGGAAGUAAGAUUCACCGUUGUGGCUUCAAUCUUUUGAAUUGCAAUGUCGGGGAAGUGAGAUUCGCCGUUGUAGCUUCAAUCUGCUCCGCUGCAUCGCCUGGGAGUAAGAUUCACCGUUGUGGCUUCAAUCUUUGAAUUGCAAUGUCAGGGAAGUGAGAUUCGCCGUUGUAGCUUCAAUCUGCUCCGCUGCAUCGCCUGGGAAGUAAGAUUCAUCGUUGUGGCUUCAAUCUUUUGAAUUGCAAUGUCGGGGAAGUGAGAUUCGCCGUUGUAGCUUCAAUCUGCUCCGCUGCAUCACCUGGGAGUAAGAUUCACCAUUGUGGCUUCAAUCUUUGAAUUGCAAUGUCAGGGAAGUGAGAUUCGCUGUUGUAGCUUCAAUCUGCUCUGCUGCAUCGCCUGGGAAGUAAGAUUUACCAUUGUGGCUUCAAUCUUUGAAUUGCAAACUAUGGUUUCUUCGAUCUGCUUCACUGUCAGUACAGGAAAGCAAGAUCUGCAACUUCAUUGGUCUGUUCUCUAGGGAACAUGACUUGUAUGUUCUAUUUUAUGAACCUAAUUAUGCCUAGUGUUUAGGAUGACAUGAUCAGAAUGAAUCAAAUGCUCCUAACUAGAUGCGCAUGAAUGACAUUUUAAUGAAUGCUGAAUGUCAUGAAGAUGAUUCCUUAAUGUUUGAGUUGUUAUUGCUCAUUGCUCAAUCAGGCUUUACAGCCAACACGUACAAAUGCUAUCUUGUCCGGUUGGUAAUGCUCAUCCCUUACUUGGUCGAAUUUCCCCCAUUAUAAUCUUCAAGGUUCAAUCCACUGGAUACAAAAAUUGGAAUCAUCUUUCUCCCUCUGUAACCCAAGGAUAGAAAGACCUAGCCCUUUUCUCGAUCCUCUGUUAUCAUAAUUCAAUGAUACAGAAUGUGAAACUCUUCGGUCUCCUACACCAUUCCCAAGGUGUUAUUACAAAUGUUUAUGCACAAUGAAGAAUUUUCCUCUCCCAGAAGACCUUUUCUUAUUGCUUGGUGAACAUCGCUUGUUUAUUCUUUGAAGUCUUGUCACCAACACGACAUCUUGUCAUUUUGUUUUAUCCAUGUUUGGACAACAAAUUUUGAAAGGAUAGUCUUGACUUAAACCUUUUCCUUUUAGACGCUUUAAAUUUGGUGUGUUCUAUGCAACAGUCCUGUUUCAGGUUCCUUCAUUAUUUAGAAAUUUCUAGAGUAAUAUGCAAAACUCUAUUUGCUUGAACAUUCAGUCCAUUGAAAGAUUAUCGCAACAAACAAACAAAAUGUUAUUGAGAACAAAUCUUGAAAUGAAUGAGUUAAUCAAGAUAACAAAUUUUGUUAAGAUAAGAUGAAAAAAAAGACAAUAAACAAAAUGUAAUUUUAUUGGGGAACAAAGCUUGAAAUGAAUACAUUAAUCAAGACAACAAAUUUUGCCAAGAUUCAAAAUAUAAAAUGACAACAGGUGCCCCAGAUAUCGCAGCACGAGCUUCCCUGCAUAAGUUUUUCUAGAGACCAUUUAAUAUGUGUUUAGGGAAUCUACAGUAUUUUGUCAAUACCCCAAGAUAUCGCCUACCCUUUCUUGUGAUUCAGGUAUAGUAAGACCACCACAUGCCCCAGGUUUUGAUCAAAAUUUGAGCUGUUCCUUUCACCUCACAUUUCUUUAAAAUUUGAGCCGCCUUUUUCAGGUUUUCAACUCAAAUCCCCUUUGGUCUCAAGGCGCCCUUUAUGGGUUUUCACAUUGGCCUCUCCCUUUUUUUUGGAGUGCCCUUCAUAGGUUUUCACUUUGGUCCUUCCCUCUUCAAGUGAAAUAUUUCUUGACUGAAUCUGAGUUUACAGGAUUUGGCAGGCUUUUACCAUCCAUCUCGCUCAAGAUUAAAACUCCACCAGAAAAGGCCAUUUUUACCACAUAAGGACCUUUCCAAUUUGGCAUACAUUUUCCUCUAACAUCUUUUUGUAGAGGAAGAAUUUUUUUCAACACCAAGUCCCCCUCGUAAAAUUUUCUAGGACGAACUUUUUUGUUAUAGGCUCGCAUCAUUCGUUUCUGAUACAUCUGACCGUGACGAAUAGCUUUUAACCUCUUUUCUUCUACCAAGUUUAGCUGGUCAUAUCGAGAUUGAAUCCAUUCAGCCUCAUCUAACUUUAGUUCGGCUAAUACUCAGAGAAAAGAGAUUUCAACUUCUAUGGGUAAAACUGCCUCCAUCCCAUAGACUAAAGAAAAAGGAGUUGCCCCCGUAGAGGUCCUAACAGAGGUACGAUAUGCCAGAAGAGCGAAAGGUAAUUUCUCGUGCCAGUCUUUGUAGGUUUCAGUCAUUUUCCCUGCAAUUUUCUUGAUGUUUUUGUUAGCUGCUUCCACGGCACCAUUUAUUUUUCGGCGGUACGGUGAUGAAUUGUGGUGUCUAAUCUUGAACUGACUACAAAUUUCUGCUAUUAAGUUGUUAUUCAAGUUCAGCGCAUUGUCAGAUAUGAUCCUUUCGGGCAUCCCGUAUCGGCAUAUGAUCUCUUUUUUCAGAAACUCUCUAACUGCGGACUUCGUGACAUUUGCAUACGAAGCAUCCUCUACUCAUUUAGUGAAGUAAUCAAUAACCACAAAGAUAAAACGAUGUCCAUUAGAAGCCUUUAGGGAUAUUGGCCCAAUAACAUCCAUUCCCCACAUGGAGAAAGGCCAUGGAGAAACCAUAACGUGAAGGGGUGAAGGUGGUGCGUGCAUUUUGUCACCAUAAAUUUGACAUUUAUGGCACUUUUUGGCAUAAUUAAUGCAAUCCCCUUCCAUGGUGGACCAAUAAUACCCAAAUCUCAUAAUUUGUCUGGCCAUCGUGAAGCCAUUGGCAUGCAUUCUAUAGAUACCUUUCAUGCACUUCUUCCAAAAUUUUCUUAGCUUCGACAGCAUCCAUACAUCUCAACAAUACUUGAUCUUUUCCCCUUUUAUACUAGAUAUCCCCAUCUAGGACAUAAUCAAUGGCUAAUCUCCUUAAUGUCUUCUUAUCAUUUCCCGUCGCAUGGUCAGGGUACUUACGACUCUUCACAUAUCGCAAUAUGUCAUGAUACUAGGCGUGAUCAUCCUUUUCCCCUUCAUUGUCAAUGUUGUAACAAUGGGCUGGAGCCUCAUAAAUGCUGAUCUGGAUAGGCUUCAUAUCCUCUAGUUUGUUCACUUUGAACAUAGAAGCUAGGGUGGCCAAAGCAUCUACCUUCUGGUUCUCAUCUCGUGGAAGAUAGCUAAAGGUGACACUAUCAAAUUCUUCAAUCAAUUCCAUAACCAAUUUUCGAUAGCGGACUAACUUCAGGUCUCUUGUUUCCCAUUUCCCUUUGAGCUGGUAAAUUACUAAUGUAGAGUCCCCGUAUACCUCUAACACCUUAAUUUUCCGCUUUAUGGCUGCUCGGAUGCCCAUAAUGCAAGCUUCAUACUCAGCCAUGUUAUUUGUGCAAUCAAAGUCCAAUUUGCUAGUGAAAGGGUAAUGAUCUCCACUAGGGGACACGAGUACUGCCCCGAUUCCGUUGCCUAUAGCAUUUGAAGCUCCAUCAAAAUUUAGCUUCCAAAGACCACCUUCUUGGAAAUCUUUUUCUGCAGUUGGAACAUACAUCAAAUCCUCAUUUGGGAAAUCGAAGUUCAAUGGCUCAUAAUCUUCCAGUGCUCUACUUGUCAGGAAGUCCGCUAUUGCACUCUCUUUGACCGCCUUCUGGUUCACAUAGACUAUGUCAAAUUCAGAUAGAAGAAUUUGCCAUCGGGCCAUUCUUCCAUUCAGAGCGGUUGACUCCAUCAAGUAUUUUAAAGGGUCCAAUUUAGAGAUUAACCAGGUUGUAUGGUACAACAUGUACUGUCUCAGUCUCCGAGUUGUCCAGAUUAGGGCACAACAUAACCUCUUGAUUGGCGAAUAUCUUGUUUCGCAUUCGGUGAACUUCUUACUGAGAUAGUAGAUUGCUCUUUCUUUUCGUCCUGACUCAUCAUGUUGACCAAGCACGAAUCCCAUAGAAUUUUCAAAUACUGCCAAAUACAGUAUGAGCGGUUUGUCUAGGCAAUGUGGCAUCAGGACUGGGGCGUUGGACAAGUGAUGUUUGACUUUUUCAAAAGUUUUUUGACAUUCCUCAUCCCAUACACCUGGAUUGUGUUUCUUAAGGAGACAGAAUAUGAGAUCACAUUUCUCGGUUAAUUGUGAAAUAAACCGAGCGAUGUAGUUCAGUCUUCCUAGAAAACCUCGAACCUCUUUUUGAGUACGCGGCGGAGGUAAUUCUUGUAUUGCUCUUACUUUGUCAGGAUCAAUCUCAAUUCCUCUCUCACUGACCACGAACCCAAGCAAUUUUCCUGAUCUGACUCCAAAUGUGCAUUUCGCUGGAUUUAGCUUUAGCUGAAAUUUUCUCAACCUCAUAAAUAAUUUCUUAAGGACCUGCACAUGUUCCUCUUCUGUUUUAGAUUUUGCAAUCAUGUCAUCAACAUAGACUUCUAACUCCUUAUGCAUCAUAUCAUGGAACAGUGUUACCAUGACCCUCUGAUACGUUGCCCCUGCAUUUUUUAACCCAAAUGGCAUCACUUUAUAACAAAAGGUCCCCCAUAGGGUUAUGAAUGUAGUUUUCUUCAUAUCCUCAGGAUGCAUAUUAAUUUGGUUAUAUCCAAAGAAACCAUCCAUGAAAGAAAAUAACGAAUACCCUGCUGUGUUGUCUACCAGGGCGUCGAUGUACGGCAAUGGAAAGUUAUCUUUUGGGCUAGCCUUAUUUAAAUCUCUAUAAUCUACACACAUUCGUACCUUCCCAUAUUUCUUAGGGACAGGUACGAUAUUGGCUACCCACUUAGAAUAUUUGACCACUUGCAGGAAUCCAGCAUCGAAUUGCUUUUGCACCUCCUCUUUUAUUUUUAAUACAACAUCAGGCCUCAUUCUUCGGAGUUUUUGUUGAACGGGUUUGCAAUCUUCCUUUAUAGGAAGACGGUGAACUACGAUAUCAGUGCUUAACCCGGGCAUAUCUUGGUAUGACCAUGCGAAGACAUCUUUGAACUCUCGAAGCAACUCAAUGAGGUCUUGUUUUACUUCUUUAGCUAUGCAUGUACCAAUCUUCACCACUUUCCCUUCUUCCAGGAUCACCGUCUCUACCGUAUCCUCAUGAGGUAAGAUUUGUUUCUCUUCCUGCUCUACCAUCCUCAACAAGUCCGGAGAUAGGUUGCAAUCUAUGUUAUCUUCAAAAUCUCGAGAUUCCUCUAAACACAUAUCUCGUUCAAAAGGAUUUUCUAGGUCCGUAGUAGGGUCACUCAUGUCAUUGAUAUCUUGGGACCUAUUAUGAAUAUCAAAGAAUGUACAAGGAAUGUAUGAAUUCAAGGAUUCUUAUUUAGUAUGGUCAUGAAUGAAAGAAUGAUUUGGAAUAAAAACAUCCAAAAUAAUUAUUCAUACGAAAGAAUGAAAAGAAUCUUAAAAGAAUAUAUACUCAAAAAGAAAAUGCGAAGAUAUAUUUCAUUAAAGUCAAAAUGUUCCAAUAUAAGCCCAUUUCAUUUCACAAAAAGUUUUCAUUUUCUCUAGGCUUAAAACAAUUAGUUUGUUUUGAAUAUUACUCUGGAAAAGCUCCAAAAACUUCAAGCAUUUCUUCUGCAGUCCAAUUGCUUAAAACGCUCCCAGGUUCAAAGGGACAGAUGUUAGAGUAUGCCCAAAGAUCAAUCAUGAGAUGGUUGUAAUAACAUACUUGAUUUAUCAUGUUUAUUAAUAUAAGACGUUACCAUUAUUAUUUCAGUUUCUUUUCUAUGUGUAUAAAUAAAUUGUUUUCUAAUAAUGUCCUAAGAAUAAUAUGAUUAUUCUUAAAAUAUCCUUAGUCAAGUAUUAUUGUUGGAUAGGACAACAAUAAUGCAUAACAUGUAGUUGAUUGAUGAUAAAGAGUUAUCAUUGAUAUGGAAUAUCAGAAUCGAUGCAUGAAUAUGUGUGUUAGAGAACAACAUAUUGGACUAACCCAUUAUGAGUAUGUUUCUUGGAUUAUUAUGUAAUUGUCACGACAUUACUCAUAGUGAUUAAUAUGUAUAUGAUCCUCAGACUUGAGAUCAUCAUAAUCCCAACAUCGUGAGUAGUAUAUUUUGAUACAGUCAAACGUACACAGUAACUGGUUGUUCUAUAAAGGCUGGUGUUGGAUAUACCACAAUCGAUGUAGAGGGAUAUGGUUGGUCGAUAUAGAAUAAGUCCCUCCUACAUAAUGGGAGUAAUAUCUUAGGCCACUUGAUUAAGUGAGACUAGAAAUGCAUGGCCAUGCUCAAAUAAGUUGAUAUGAGAUGCCAUACUUAUUUGUAUAUCGUAGUCUGCUUAAAAUAUCAAGGAACAUGGAAUGGACUAUACAAGUGUGACUAUUCCAUGACUUGUGUCCAAUCCAGAGAUAAAGGACUUAAGGAUUAUUGCAUAAAAGGUUAAUCAUAAAAGGUUAUGUCGAAUCAUGAUCUCUUGUGACUUAGGUAGCAAUGAUGCAUUGCUAGAUGCCACUCAUUGUUUGUAACAUUGGAAUCGUUCUAGUAUUACUGCUAACGUUACAAGAACCUACAGGGUCACACCCUAUAGUUAAAAUGAACGAAAUAAACCAUAGUUGGUAUUGUUUUUAGGUGUCACUUGAAUUAAAUUAAUUAUAGAAUUAAUUUAAUUCGAUUUCCAACACAUUAUGUACAAGGUUGUUGUACACAUAAUGAGGUUAGCAUAUGAAUUCAAAUAAAUAUAUGGUUUACCGAAAUUAUAUUAUAAUUAAUGUAAUUAUAAUUUUCGGUUUAAAAUAUUAUUAUAUUUAUUUUAAUUCAUAAAUAAAAACCCUAAAAAAUAAAUAAUAAGGAUAUAAGUAUCCCGUUUUUCUUUGUUUUUGGUCUAGCAGCCGUCAAAGAAAAUUCUCUCUCAAAACUAUUUUGGGGAUUUCUUCCGUUCGUAGCCAACUGGGUGGAUCACGUAGAGGUCGGAGUCUCGAUAGAUUGCGACUUAGUUCGAUUGUAGAUCAGACUACACGUUGUUGAUAAGUUGCUGUCUACUAAGAACAGCAUUAAGUAAUUUCAUAACCCUUUUCACCCUGAUUCGUUCCUCACACAUGGAUUCGUGGUUAGGGUCGCCGAUUAUUAAAUUUUUCCACUGCACCGUAGGGGUGCCGGCGAUCCAACAACAGAUACCUGAUAUACUAUUUUCUUCAGAUUCUUCUUCAGAUAUGGCAUUGAUGUUCAGACUUCCUAACAUUUCCUCCGCGGUCUUCUUUCUUGGAAUCCUCAGUCCAGAAUACAUGGUUCCCCCUGACACGAAGGUCCUGGAUAUGUGGGGGAAAGUUAUGGGUUCCCAAUCAACUUUUUCUCCGUUUAAACAUGCCUUCCUCCUCUCUUAUCUUUUCUCCAACUCUUUCCUUCUUUGCUUAGCAUUUGGUUUAAAUCCUAAAGCAAAGCGGUCUUGUUUGUCCUUCAGUACUGGUGGCUCUAUCCUUCCUUGAAGGCAUCUUCCUAGUCCUCUUUCGGGCAUAGCUCCUUUCCCAACUGCCAUUUGUAGUCCCAUCCUCGUGGCUCUAGAUAUGCUGGGCAUCGGGAUCUUCUUCCCCUCAAUGACAGAGGUUGCAUUUACAAACUCUAAGGAUCGAAAAGAACAUUCGACCGCCUCAUCAUCUGUUCCCAAAUAUGGUGCGUCACUGGUUACCAAUGCAAUGAUGUCUUCCUCAGCUUCAAUAGUAACUAACCGGCCUUCUGUCACUAAUUUCAACUUCUGGUGCAACGAUGAAGGCACCGCCCCUGCUGAAUGAAUCCAUGGUCUCCCCAGCAAGCAAUUAUAUGAAGGCUUGAUAUCCAUCACUAAAAAAUCCACUUCGUAUGUAUUCGGGCCAAUCAAGAGGGGUAUUUCUAUUCUUCCCAUCACAUUUCUUUCAGUACCAUCAAAUGCUCUCACUAUGUUCUGACAUGAUUUCAUGUGAGAGCUAUCCACCGGUAACCUAUUGAAGGUGGACAGGGGUAAAACAUUUAGGGCUGAUCCAUUAUCAAUUAGCAUACCCAAUAACAUAUACUCCCCACAACGAGUAGUGAUAUGUAAGGCUUUGGUGGCUCCUCUUCCCCCCGAAGGUAUUUCAUCAUCAUUAAAGAAAACGAAAUUGUUGGCACCGAUAUUGUUAACCAAACGGUCCAACUUAUUCACUGAGAUAUCGUUAGCGACAUAAGUUUCAUUUAGCACCUUAAUCAACGCAUUACGAUGUAUCUCUGAAUUUAGAAGCUACCCAAUUUUUUAAAACCUUAAACGGCCCAAUUGGGCCCAAAAAUUAAACAACAUCAGGGAUCCCUAGGGUUCCUUGCCUUUCCUUGCGCCGCUACUGCCCAUGUUCACUUUCAGCAUGCACAACGCCCGAGGUCUGCCAUCGCCAGCCAAGCCUGCACCAAAAUGGCAAGCCAAUCCGAUGCCCGCAAAAGAAAACCUACAAACAAGCAUGAAAGAAGGACGAGCAGAACAAAAAGCAGAAACAGUAAAAAUUAUAAAAAAAAGUAUUCUCUUUCAGCUUUAUAAGCCCAGAAACAAAACGAUGUAAAGGGGGGAAUUUUUUAUGAAAAGAGAUUGAAAAAAUAGAAUACAAAAAGAGGUGAUUUUUCGUUUCUUAUUAUUUUGUUCUUAUUAUUUUUAUUUAACUUUCAGUCAUAUAUAUUAUAUAUUAGAAAUAGAAAGAAAACUUUCUAAUAGAGGGACGGAUUCAAACAUGAAACGAAAGAAAAAGAUAGAUAAAGGAAGAGGAUAAACGAAAGCAAAGCUUUUGCACGGAUUCAAAGCCGUUUUAUUCCUCCUUUCUUUUUUUGUUUUGUUUCUUUUUUAGAAAAAAAAUACAUACAUACGAGUUUUAUAUAUGUCUAUAAAAAAACCGAGACAACUUAUCUGGGGUUUGACUGCCGAACGCUGCGGUGGCGUGGUGACGAUCGACAAACUAGCGGCGCUGAGGCAGGAGCUUGAAACCCUAACAGAAAAGAGCAUUUGAUUUAUUUUUUUCGUUCACAGCAGGCUGAUUUUUUUUUAAAAAAGGUGUUGCUUUUAUAAAGUGAAAGAAAUAGUGCCGUAUCAGCAAAUGGCCCAACCCGAUGAUCUGACCCGAGCGGGAUCAGAUCCGCGUAUUCUGGGUCUGUGAGGGAUAUUUUCCCUAUUGAUCCCUCGUUCUUUUCCCUUUUCUUAAUUUCAUUCGUUUAUUUUUUUAUUUACCCUAUCUAUUUUGAGCCUAUUCAUUUGGGUCCACGCCGCAGCACAGCGUUUUGGGGCUGGGGAUAUUUUCCUCUUUAAUCCCCAUGUAAUCCGCAUAUUGCACUUUAACCCCUCGUCUUGGUUAUAACUCUAUUCUUUUCUUGUUAAUUUAGAUUUGAUGGCACGGGCCAUUUUGGUAUGUGGCAAAGUGAGGUUCUAGAUGCCCUUUUUCAGCAGGGUCUAGACAUUGCCAUUGAUGAAGAGAAACCAGAUGAUGUACAGGAGAAAGAUUGGAAGGCGAUCAAUUGGUUGGCAUGUGGCACAAUUUGAUCAUGCCUUUCUCGAGAGCAGAGGUAUGCUUUUUCAAAGGAGACUUCUGCAAAUAAGUUGUGGGUGGCACUUGAAGAAAAUUUUUUGAAGAAAAACAGUCAAAAUAAGCUCCACUUGAAGAAAAGACUGUUUCGCUUCACAUACGUCCCAAGUACCACAAUGAAUGAUCACAUCACCAAAUUUAAUCAGUUAGUCACUGAUUUGCUGAAUAUGGAUGAGACAUUCAAAGAUGAAGAUUUGGCUUUGAUGCUGUUGGGGUCACUUCCUGAGGAGUUUGAGUUCCUAGAAACUACUCUACUUCAUGGCAGGAGUGAUAUAUCUCUGAGCGAAGUCUGUGCGGCCUUAUACAGUUAUGAACAGAGAAAGAAGGACAAACAGAAAAACUCAAUCAGAGAUACAGAAGCUUUAGUAGUCCGAGGUCGUUCAUACACUCGGAAGAAAACUCAAAAGGGGAGAUCAAAGUCAAAGUCCAGACUCGGGAAAGAUGAAUGUGCUUUUUGUCAUAAGAAAGGCCACUGGAAGAAAAAUUGUCCAAAGCUGAAGAAUAAGGGAAAAGCUGCUGUAGAUGCUUGUGUUGCUAAGCAUGAUACUAGUGACUCUGAACUAUCACUGGUUGCAUCAUCAUCGUCGUUCCAUUCAGAUGAGUGGAUAUUGGAUUCGGGUUGUACCUAUCAUAUUCCCUUAAUCGGGAGUGGUUCUCUGAUUUAGUAGAACUAAAUGGAUGAGUUGUUUAUAUGGGCAAUGACAAUGCCUGUAAAACUGUUGGGAUAGGUUCAAUCCAAUUAAAGAAUAAAGAUGGAUCAACCAGAGUUCUGACUGAUGUUCGGUACGUGCCCAGUUUGAAGAAAAAUCUCAUCUCAUUGAGAGCCUUGGAAUCCAAUGGUUCAGUUGUUACUAUGAGAGAUAGGAUUUUGAAAGUGACAUCUGGCGCACUUGUGAUAUUGAAGGGCAUCAGGAAAAAUAACUUGUAUUACUACCAAGGUAGUACAGUUAUUGGAGCAGUCGCUGCAGCUUCCGGCAACAAAGAAUUGGACUCAAUACAGUUGUGGCAUAUGAAGUUGGGACAUGCCAGCGAAAAAUCCUUACAAAUUCUGGCAAAGCAAGGAUUGUUGAAAGGUGCAAAGGCUUGCAAAUUAAAAUUUUGCGAGCAUUGUGUUCUGGGAAAGCAAAAGAGAGUGAAAUUCGAUACUGCUAUCCAUAAUACAAAAGGUAUUUUGGAAUAUGUUCACUCAGAUGUGUGGGGGCCUUCUAAGACACCUUCAUUGGGAGGAAAACACUACUUUGUUACUUUUGUUGAUGACUUUUCCAGAAGAGUUUGGGUGUAUACCAUGAGAACUAAGGAUGAAGUGCUUAGAGUUUUUUCUUAAAUGGAAAACUAUGAUCGAAAACCAGACUGGCAAGAAAAUCAAGCGGCUUAGGACGGACAAUGGAGGGGAAUAUAAAAGUGAUCCGUUCUUCGAUGUGUGCCAAGAGUAUGGUAUUGUUCGACACUUCACAAUUAGGGAUACACCACAACAGAAUGGAUUGGCAGAGCGUAUGAAUCGAACAUUGUUGGAGAAACUUCGAUGUAUGUUGUCCAAUACUGGGUUGGGCAAGCAAUUUUGGGCUGAGGCUGUGACAUACGCUGGCCAUCUUGUUAAUCGUUUGCCAUCAUCUGCAUUAGAAAGAAAAACUCCUAUGGAGGUAUGGUCUGGAAAACCGGCUACAGAUUAUGAUUCCUUACAUGUGUUUGGAACCACUGCAUAUUACCAUGUGAAGGAGUCAAAGUUAGAUCCGAGGGCAAAGAAAGCUCUCUUUAUGGGAAUCACUUCUGGAGUGAAGGGAUUUCGUCUUUGGUGCUUAAGCACAAAGAAAAUGAUCUGUAGCAGAGAUGUUACCUUUGAUGAAUCUGCCACAUUGAAAAAGGUAGCAGAUAAAGAUAUUCAGACGAGCAAUACUCCACAGCAGGUGGAGUGUACUCCAAAACAGGUGGAGUUUGAGCAGAUGGGGAUUUGCCCAGUUAAUAAGUCUAAUUCUCCAGCCACAAUGGAGGAAUUAGAGGUUGAAGAGGUUCUGACCCAAGAACCACUAAGUACACCAGAACCAGUUGCAGUUGCAAGGCCACGGAGAGAAAUUCGUAAACCUGCUCGAUUUACUGAUAUGGUGGCCUACGCCCUUCCCGUUGUUGAUGAUAUUCCUAUCACUUAUCAAGAAGCAAUGCAAAGCUUAGAAAGUGAUAAAUGGAAAAGCGCCAUGGAUGAAGAAAUGCAGUCUCUCCGGAAGAACAAUACUUGGGAGUUGGCGCAAUUACCGAAAGGUAAAAGGGCAAUCGGAUGCAAGUGAGUAUUCGCAAAGAAAGAUGGAUCUCCUAGCAAGAAGGAUAUUCGCUACAAGGCAAUAUUGGUAGCUAAAGGCUACGCUCAGAAGGAGGGAAUUGACUACAAUUAUGUAUUUUCCCCUGUUGUGAAGCAUUCCUCCAUUAGAAUUUUGUUGGCCUUGGUAGCACAGUUGAAUUUGGAGCUAGCUCAACUUGAUGUUAAGACGACUUUCUUGCAUGGUAAGUUAGAAGAGGAGAUCUAUAUGACUCAGCCCGAAGGAUACACAGAUGCUGGUGGUAGAAAUUGGGUUUGUAAGCUUAACAAAUCGCUAUAUGGAUUGAAGCAAUCCCCGAGGCAGUGGUACAAGCGAUUUGAUAGCUUUAUGAGAAGGCAGAAGUACACAAGAAGCAAAUAUGACAAUUGUGUAUAUUUGCAGAAGCUGCAUGACGGAUCUUUCAUUUAUCUACUCUUGUAUGUUGAUGAUAUGUUAAUCGCUUCAAAGAGCCAAAAUGAGAUAGAUAAGUUGAAGGCUCAGUUGAAUCAAGAGUUCGAGAUGAAAGAUCUAGGUGAGGCCAAGAAGAUUCUCGGCAUGGAGAUAAGUAGAGAUAGACCAAGAGGCAAGCUCUGUUUAAAUCAGAAGCAAUAUCUGAAAAAGGUAUUACAAUAUUUUGGUGUAAAUGAAAACACAAAACAUGUAAGUACCCCACUUUCUUCUCAUUUGAAACUUAGUGCUCAAUUAUCUCCGAAGACUGAAGAUGAAAGAGAAUAUAUGGCGAAAGUCCCAUAUGCUAAUGCAGUUGGGAGUUUGAUGUAUGCGAUGGUGUGUACGAGGCCUGACAUUUCACAAGCUGUUGGAGUUGUGAGCAGGUAUAUGCAUGAUCCUGGAAAAGGACAUUGGCAAGCUGUGAAAUGGAUUCUACGGUAUCUUCGAAAAACCGUAGAUGUUGGUUUAAUUUUUGAACAGGAUGAAGCACUUGGUCAGUUUGUAGUUGGAUAUGUUGAUUCCGACUUUGCUGGUGAUUUAGAUAAACGUCGUUCAACUAUGGGGUAUCUGUUUACUCUUGCGAAAGCCCCAGUGAGUUGGAAGUCUACCUUACAGUCUAUAGUAGCUGUGUCUACUACAGAGGCAGAAUAUAUGGCAGUUACAGAAGCUGUUAAGGAGGCUAUUUGGCUUAAUGGAUUGUUGAAAGACUUAGGAGUUGUUCAAAGUCACAUAAGUUUAUAUUGUGACAGUCAGAGCACUAUUCAUUUAGCGAAAAAUCAAGUCUAUCAUUCAAGAACCAAGCAUAUCGACGUAAGAUAUCACUUUGUGCGGGAAGUCUUUGAAAAAGGAAAAAUUCUACUUCAGAAGAUUCCGACAGCAGAUAAUCCCGCAGAUAUGAUGACCAAGGUGGUAACAACAAUCAAGUUUAAUCAUUGUUUGAACUUGAUUAACAUCCUGAGAAUUUGAGCACCUACAGGUGUAUGGCGCUCGAGAGCGCAUUUAGAGGCACUACAAAAGAUAACUUUAUCGAAUUUGGGGAGUUGAAGGAAGUGUGUGAAGAUGUGAUUAUCCUAAUCAAAUCUUCAAGGUGGAGAUUGUUGAAAGGUCAACAAAGGUAGGAAGCAACUUGUUAAAAAGGUUGAGCAAGUUGCACCGAAUGUUGAAAAGUUGAAUGGGAUAAUUGCAAUUUUGGUCCUUAAUUUUUUAGGCCAUUUGCAAGUUAGUCCCUGAAGUUCAACUAUAAAUAGGCCUUUUCAUUUUUCAUUUCAACCAUCCCAACCAAUCUUUCUCUCUUAGUUUUCUCUCUUCUCCCAUUUGAGAAUUCUUAAGGAAUUCUAUUUGUUUGUAAUACUUUGGAGAUAGUAAAGUUAUCAUCUGGUGUUAGUGCCCGAGGACGUAGGUAUAAUUUACCGAACCUCGUUAAAACUCUUAUGUUCUUUUUGUCCUAUUUUUCUUUCAAUAUUUGAGGGUAUAAUAGUAGUAUUUAAUUGUGCUAUUAAAUUACUAUAGAAGGGAUAUUCUGACUAAGGAAAGACUUGGUAUUUAAGAGAUCCAUGUGAUCCACCUCUCUUCCCUGGGAAUUGAACUUUGUGUGAUUUUUAGUACAAUAAUUUACACGCUUCCGACCCUAUUGGAACAACAGAAAGGUUCAUGACAACACAUGUUGAUUUUGAUGUUAAAGGUAAAAAUUUCGAGUACAUGCCGUUUAGUUUCGGUAGAAGGUCGUGUCCUGGAAUGACGUUUGGGUUGCAAGUUGUGCACUUGACGGUGUCGAAAUUAAUUCAGGGAUUUGAUAUUAGGGUGGCGGAGGGGACCGCGGUGGAUAUGGAAGAAGGCUUGGGAUUUGCCUUACCUAAGUUGAAUCCUCUUGAAGUUGUAUUAUCGCCACGCCUUGGAACUGAGUUUUACGAAUGCCUUUAAGAUGGUGAAAAAUAUAUACUAGAAAUUUAGCGUUUUAUAUUUUGAUUAAAUAAUUAUUGGAUGUGAUAAUGGCAUGGUGAUACAGCUUUUAGUUGAGCAUUAAAUAAGUUUACUGAAUGCACUUGGGAAUAAAUGUAAGCACAUUAUUAAAUUUUAAAGUCGAUAUUAGUAAAAAGAUUUUAUUUGAAUAUCAUGUUUAAUUGGAAUAAAAUUAGACCCGAAAUCUAUAACAAAUUACAACACUUAUGCUUAUAGCCGAGAUAUUCUCAUGAACUACCUGGUUGAAGAAAAGUGUGUUUGACAUUGCCAGGUAAAAUUAUUGUAAGGGAUUGAAAUGUUAAAAAAAAUGUUUAAAAUAAUAAAAGUCUAGUUAUGUAUAUGGUGUUAUAUAUGUGCAAGAUUGAGAGUACUUAUAUUGUUUAUUAUAAUUGUCGAAACCAUUUUUUUGAAAACAAAAAUUUAGGUUAUCGACUUAAAAAAAUAAAAAUUGGAGUCGCCACUGAUCCUUGAUUGAGGUGUGAUCGGCUCACCUUAAAAAUGAUUUUGGUCUGCGAAAUUUGAGAAAACAGGUUCGGGGGUCAGUUACGCACGAGGAAGGGUUAGCACCCCCAUAACGCCUAAAAAUCGGUACCAAAUUGAUUAUUUAAUGUCUUAGUGUUGAGGGUUAAAAAGAUUUAAAAAAAAACUCAAAUGAUGAAAUCUGAAAAUGAUAAUCAAUUGUUCAAGUUAGAUAAAGAAAUUGAGACCCAAUACGUUAGGGUACAAUUUCUCAAAACCCCCCCGAACUUUGAAUAUCGCUCUUUUGUUUUUAAAGAAAAUCUUCAUUUCGAGAAGGCAAUAUGUCAUGCCCAAUACGUCAGGACAUCACAAAUUAAGUUCCCGAAAAUGAUUUUCACUUAUACAUUUUGAAUAACGAAUAUUCUCGGUUAUUUGGAAUUAACAAAGAAAAUCGGAACCCAAUACGUUAGGGCUCAAUUUCCUCACUACACCAGAAUAGGCUUUUAGCGGCACUUUUUGCGGCGUUUGGAACAAAAGCGCCACAAAAAAUCGAGCAUUAGCGGCGAUUGAUGAGCCGUAUGUAUUUUCUUCUCAAGUCAAACAAGUUUUUUACUCAAAAGACCCAACUGAUGAGGGUUGGUACGUUGUACUCCAUAACAUCCCUAGAGACUUGUUUGACAUGGGCAGUGGAAGUAGAGAUGACAUUGACGACAGAACACAAACUUUGCCAUUUCCAGAACAGAACUUAAACGAAAACAUCCCUGGUACUAGUACACAAUUUCAAUGGGUCCGCCAGGAUACGGAUGAAAAGACUUACGAAUUAUAAUGUAGUAAGCUUUUACGAUUAUCUAAUUACAUCUACGAAUGAUGAUAUUUCAACUAUUUUAUAUGUGAUAUUAUUGUUGUAAUUGUAUACUAAGUUUUCAACUAAUUUAUUUGUAUUGCAGAUAAAAUGCCUAGAAGAAAAGUGCGAUCGCACCGCAUUGUUCAAGGUACUCCAAACUCGGCGGAAACAAACAACACUGAACAACAGACUGCUAUUGGAUCUUCGAAUGUUCUGGUUACACCUGAGGAACCUAUAGAAGUUCAAAGUAAUUUAACAUUUAAUUUACAUGUGUGUUGACUUCUUGUUUUUUUUUAAAUUUCGUAUAUUACAAUACUUUUAUUUUUCAGAUGAAAUUGGUGGGACGCGGAGAGGUCGCGGACGUACGGUAUUGAGCGAUUUAUACGACCUAGAUCCAGUCGAGCGUGUCCAAGUAUCCAGUAAUAGCUUUGGUCAGCCUGUUGGAUCAGAAGCUCGCCUUUUAGCAGGAUACAUGGGCAUUCUAGCACGGAAUGCAAAUAUGUUGCCAAUUAACUUCGACUCAUGGCAUAAAGUGCCCGAGAGUAACAAGAACCAAGCUCUCGAUAACAUUAAGGUAACAAAACGUGUAUGUCAUUUAUAAUACUUGGGUUUAAGUUUCGUUUACAUUUACUUUCUUAAGUUGUGUUUUUUGUAGGCGAGAUUUGCUCUAGAGGUCUCCGAUGCUUAUGUAAAGAAGGCAUUGGGAAAAAGAUGGAGAGACCAUAAGAGCAUUUUAAAGAAAGACUAUUUUAAGACAAAAACAACACUGGACGAGAGAUUACAAAAUGUCCCGCCGGGAAUGCUGAGGUACCAGUGGGAAGAGGUCGUUAGAUUUUGGGCUUCAAAGAAAGGAGAGGUAUGUGUAACUUAUAAAAUUUUGAAAUUAUUUUGGUGUAUAGUAUUUCCUAAUUAAUGUACUAAUAAUUUCAUAAUGUAGGAUCGUGAAGAAGUAGGAAAAAAAAGUAGGCAGCAACAAAAAUUCACUCACACAGCUGGGUCGAAAAGUUUUGGGUGUGUAGCUCAUGCAGAGGUAUUUUCAAUUUUUAUAUAUUGGAGGAUGAUAACUACUUACUUACAUUAAUAUUUUUACUAUUGUAUUGUAGGAACUGUCAUCCGGUAAAAAAGUUGGACGCCUUCAACUUUUUGACAUUACACAUAGGAAGAAAGAUGGAAACCAUAUGACUCUUGAAGCUGCAGAAAUUAUGGUACGUUUGCUUAAUUAAUACAAUUUCACUUGUUUUAAUUAUUUAUAGUGUUUAUUUUCUAAUGAUUUAUUUCAUUUAUUGUAAUGCAAAUAUUGUUAAGUUAUGUUGCAUUGGGUUUUUUAAUAUAUAUUGCGUCCCUAACUAUUUGAUUUAUUUUUUAGGAAAAAUUAAGGAUAAAAAGGCGGAGUACGAAGCGAUUGCUUCCAGUGAUAGUUCUAUUCAUAUUGAUGACAUUGAUAACCGGAUUAUCACUGAAGUUUUGGGUCCUGAAAGGUAUGGUCGGGUUCGAUUUCGAGGAUCUUUUGUUAACCCAUCCCAAUUUUUUGGAUCUAGCUCACAACAAUAUAUGCCUUCGGGGAGUCGAGCCGAAGCUGAAGUUCAGAGGUUAAGAGACCAGAUGGAUCAUAUGCAAGCGACAACAAUUGAGCAAAUUACACAACUUAAAGCGGAGGCAACAUCGAGAGAAGCUGAGGUUCAAAAAAGAUAUGAAGAACUCCAGCUACAACUGAAAGCAGAUGCAGCAGCGAGAGAAGCUGAGGUUCAACGAAAGUAUGAAGAACUCCAGCAGCAGCUUAAAGCAGAUGAGGCAGCAAGAGAAGCUGAGGCCGCAGCGAGAGAAGUACAGGAUGCAGCGAGGGAAGCAGAAGCUAAAGCGAGGGAAGCAGAGGCUGCAGCGAGGGAAGCAGAGCAGCGUCAAAAGUUCGAUGAACUCCAGCAGCAGCUUCAAAGUAUGAUGAAGAUGUUUCAGCAGUCGCAACAGUCGCCGUCUUAGACUAUAGUGUAAAUAUACUUCGAUUUUGACUUUUAAUUAUCAUUUUAACUUUUAACAUUUUUGUAAGAAUAAUAUGAUUUUUAUUUUAUUUAUUGAUAUUUAUUAUAUUAUUUGUUUAAUAUAUUGAUUUAUUACUUUUGGCUGGUUUAGAUAUGAUUUCUUUUGAUUUGUUUUUACAGGAGGGCUGAAAAUAUAAAAAAUUUAAUUUUACAAAUCUGCCAAAUUUAGUAGCGUUUUUAAAAAAAAAACGCCACUAAAGGUGUUGGCCUUUAGUGGCGUUUUUGGUCAAAGCGCCGCUAAAGAUAAGGGUCUUUAGCGGCGUUUGUGGAAAAAGCGCCACUAAAGAUCAUAGUCUUUAGUGGCGUUUGUGGUCAAAGCGCCGCUAUAGAUCAGGGUCUAUUGAGGCGUUUGAGGGGAAAGCGCCGCUAAAGACCCUGAUCUUUAGUGGCGUUUUUGGGAGAAGCGCCACUAAAGAUAAGGGUCUUUAGCGGUGCUUCCACUAAAGCGCCGCUAAAGGUCUUAGUCUUCAGCGGCGUUUGUGCAAGAUGCACCGCUAAAGAUCAGGGUCUUUAGCAGCGCAUUCAUUAGCGGCGUCUGUUGCGGCGCUUUUAAAAGCGCCGCUAAAAGUAUCUGCGGCGCUAAAGGCCUAAAAAAGCGCCGCUAAAAGCCUGUUUUGGUGUAGUUCCUAACUUUGAAUAUCGUUUUUAUUUUAAAAACCUUUGGCAAAAUCAAAAUAUAUUUUUAAAACAUAUGUUUAAAAAAAAUGAAUGCAAUAUGAAACAAAUAUUUUAAUUUUAAUCAUAUGUAUACAUAAGUAUGACAUAUAAAUAAUUUUUGCAAAUAUGUAUAUGGAUAUGAGAGGAAAAAAUGCAUAAAUUUUAUAAAAUGUCAAUGCAUAUAUCUAUAUGAAUACAUAAGUCAUAAGAAUAAAACGAUAAUAAAAUACACAUAAAAUAUAUUCAUGUAUUUAUAAAAAAAUGUAUAAGCAUAAUAUAUUGGUAAAUAUAAAAAUAUAUAUUUAUAUUUAUAAUAAGUUUUGAAUAGAGUAUAAAUAUAUAUGUACAUAUUAUAAAAAUGUAUAAACAUAUACAAAUUAUAAAACAUGGGAAACGUAUAAAUGUUAUAAAAUAUAAAUGUAUAUACAUAUAUAUAAAAACUAUGAAAAUAAAAUAAUAAAUAGAAAAAAAUAUGUAUAGGUAUUUAAAAAAAUUUUAAAAAUAUAUAUAUUAUAAAAUACUCAUGCGUGUAUAUGUGUAAGUAUAAUAAUAAUAUAAUAAUGAUAAUAAUAAUAAUUAUUAUAAUAAUUAUAACCACUAUAUUAAUAAAAUAAACUAAAAAAAAAAAUUAAAACGAAAGAUCAUGGAUUAAAUUGAAAAUAACUGAAGCUUCAGGGGCAAAUUUGAAAUAAAUAAAACAUCAAUGGAUCAAAUAGAACAUGCAGUUAACAGUGGAGGACCGAAAGUGAAAUUAAUCCAAACCUCCCAAAACUCCACGCAACAAUGGAUUAAAAUAAAACAAAUUCAGCAUUUCUUGGAAAAAUUUGAAAACAAACAACAAUGAUUUUGAAAUGAUGGGAUAAAAUGGAAGGAUUAAAAACGUAAAUAUCCCAUCAGUGCUUAAAACCCUUUUCAAUCUCAAAUUUAAACGCUAUUCUGCAGCAGCAAUAGCCGUAAAAACUGUUUCAUCUCCUUCCCAACUCUUCACGCCAAAACCUUUAACUUUGAUUUGGACAAAACGAAGCAAACGAUGCCGAUGGCGCGCCUCUGCUGGCAAGAAUCUCCUCCCUUUCUUUUACUUUUCAUUUGUUUCCAAAAAAAUGAAGUAAAAUACAAAAAAAAAUAUGAGACAAAAAAAAUAGAAACAGUAAAAACUUGGAAAGAACAAAUCACCUUCAAAAUUUUUUUUUCUGAUUCUUUUCUUUCGUAUUUCAGUAUUUUUCAAUAUAUGUGUGUAACCCUUUUACAGAUUUGAUUUGGCUUUAUAUAGCCGAAACAACGGAGAAAGAAACUAUCAAAAAAACUCUCCUCCUUUUGUCAUAAUUUCUGCUAUUAUUUCUAUUUGUGGUUCAUGGCUUGUUGCAGGUACGAGCAUCGUGCGAAGCUACCAGAUGUGGGUGAGACGACGUUGGCAGUUGCUAUGCGUUCGUGCGUGAAGACGGUUGCUGCAAUGUGGGGGCGAGGGUGACGCCGAUGCGCUGCUUAUUACCAAAGGUUUCUGCUGUUCAUUUUUUUGUGUUUUAGGCUAGUGGGUUAGGUAUUUGGGUUGUUUGGGUAUUGGGCUUGUAAUUUGGUUAUUGGGUCAGAGUAUUAUUGGGUUUAAAACUGGGUUUAGUAAUAGGCUAUUAUAUAUAGCCAGGCCAAAAUUGGCCUAUUACAGCUGCCCCUCUUUGCUCGUUAUUGUGUAAUGAUAACAGAGCAAAGACUUUAGCAAUGGUCAAUUUUGCCUGGUUGUAUUGGAUUUCGGGACUCUUUUCUUCAAGUAGCCUCAUUCCAUCCUACUGCAUUCUCAGAAGUAUAGGAACUAGUGCUUCGAUCCACUCCACUACAACAUCAAGGAGAUAGGAUUUGGGUCUUCAGUCUGCUCGAAAGAAUAAAAUUUGCUAUCUCAAGUCCACUCCACUGCACCACCAGGGAAGUAAGAUCUGCCGCUGUGGCUUCAAUCUUUUUAAUUACGCUGUCGGAGAAACCAGAUCCACCGUUAUGACUUCAAUCUGCUACACUGCACCGCCAGGGAAGUAAGAUUCGCCGUUGUGGCUUCAAUCUUUUUAAUUGCGCUGUCGAAGAAAUCAAAUCCGCCGUUGUGACUUCAAUCUGCUCCACUACACCACCAGGGAAGUAAGAUCUGCUGUUGUGGCUUCAAAAAUUUUUUAAUUGCGCUAUCGAGGAAACCAGAUCCGCCGUUGUGACUUCAAUCUGCUCCAUUGCACCACCAAGGAAGUAAGAUCUGCUGUUGUGGCUUCAAACUUUUAAAUUGCGCUGUCGGAGAAACCAGAUCCGCCGUUAUGACUUUAAUCUGCUCACUGCACCGCCAGGGAAGUAAGAUCCGUUAUUGUGGCUUCAAUCUUUUUAAUUGCGCUAUCGGGGAAACCAGAUCCACCGUUGUGACUUCAAUCUGCUCCACUACACUGCCAGGGAAGUAAGAUCCGCCGUUGUGGCUUCAAUCUUUUUAAUUCCAAUGCCAAAGAGAUAAGAUUCGCUGCCCACAGCUUCAAUCCGCUCCACUUCAACUAAUCCAAACCUUAACGCUAGGGAGAUAAGAUUCGCCAUCGUGGCUUCAAUCUGCUCCGCUACAACGCCCAGGGAAAAAAAUUGCUAUUUUCAACCUACUCCACUUCUGUUAAAGAAGAUAAGGCUGAAGUUUUACCGGUUUGUUCUCUAGGGAACACGACCUGUAUAAUUCAAAUUAUGAACCUAAUUAUGCCUAGUGAUUAGGAUGUCAUGAUUAAAAUGAAUCAAAUGCUCCUAACUAGACAUGUAUGAAUGACAUUUGAAUGAAUGUAAAAUAUUAUUUUUUCAAGAAUGAUCCUUCUUAAGUCGUCAUUACUCAAAGUUUAUUAAGAUUUUACCACUGGCGCGCCACAACACCUUAUUGCUUGGCUAGUCUCUCCAAAGAAACACUUGAUCAGAUUUCCUCCACUAUAAACUUAAAAGGUCAAUCUACUGGGACGCAAAAUUUGUACCAUCUUUCUCCCGCUGUAACCCAAGGGUAGAAAAAAAAUCUAGCCUCUCAAUCUUCUCUUAUUACAAUAUGAAGCACUUUGGUCCUUUACACCGUUCUCAGGGUCAUACCAAAUGCAUAUGCACAAAUGAAUGAUUUUCUUCUCCAAGUAAACCCCUUUCUAUUGCUUGGUGAUUAUUACUUGCUUGUUUAUUUAAGCCUCGUCACCAACCUGACAUCUUGUCAUUUUGUUCAAUCAAUGUUUUUGACAACAAAAUCCAAAGAGAAAGUCUUAAUUUAGACCAUUCCUUAUCAGAUUUCCAACCCUUAAACCUAGUGCGUUCUAAAUAAUAGUCCUGUUUCAGGUUCUCGUAUUAUUUAGAAACUUCUAGAGUAAUAUGCAAAACUUCCUUUGUGAAAGUUUUAUUAGUCCAUUAAUCAUCAUUCUAAUACAACAUGCUUGCAAAAAGAGCAAAACGAUGGAUAGCAUAGAAUUGAUUUGAGAGCAUAGCUUGAAAUAAAUAUAUUAUCAAGAAUAUUAAGAAUAAAAUAGGAAUUGACUCGUAUCUUAAAAAAGAAUAAAGUAUUCCAAGAAUAAGCCAUUCAAUAAAAAUAGUAUAAAAACUAGGUGCCCCAGAUAUCGCAGCUUGAACUUCUCUAUACAAACUUCCUGAAGACCAUUCUGAGUUUGACAUGUGCUUAGGAGAUCUACAAUACUCUGUCGAUGCUCCAAGAUGUCGCGUACCCUUUCUUGCUGAUUCAGGCAUAGCAAGAUUGCCACAUGCCCCAAUCUGAUCAGAAUUGAGCUACUCUUAUUACCUCAUGCCCCAUUUUGAUCAAUAUUUGAGCCGCCCUUUUCGGGUUUUUAACUCAAAUCCCCUUUGGUCUAAGGCGCCCUUUGCGGGUUUUCACCUUAGCCUCUCCAUUUUUAUUUUUUCCAUUUUUCAUUUUUCAUUUUUUUAUUUUCAUUUUUUCACAUCUUUUUCACAUCAUCUUUUUUUUGUGACUCAAAGUGCCCUUAGCGGGUUUUUACCUAGGUCCUCUUCUUCUUUAAGUGAAGUAUUUCUUGACUGAAUCUAAGUUUAUAGGAUUAGACCAGUUUUUUACUAUCCAUCUCACUCAAGAUCAGUGCUCCUCCGGAAUAGGUCUUCUUUACAACAUAAGGAUAUUCCUAAUUUAGCACUCAUUUUUCUCUAAAAUCCUCUUGUAGAGGAAGAAUCUUUUUCAAUACCAGGUCUCCCUCGUGGAAUUCUCUGGGACAAACCUUUUUAUUAUAAGCUCGCACUGUCCCAUUUUUGGUACAUCUGACCGUGACGAAUAACUUUUAGCCUUUUUCCUUCAAUUAAGUUUAACUGAUCGUAUCGAGAUUGGAUCUUCAUCGUACUUCAGCUUAGCCAAUACCCGGAAAAAAAGAAUUUCAACUUUAAUGGAAAAAACCGUGAUAAGCUAAAGAGAAAGGCAUUGCCUCAGCGGAGGUUUUUUUCUUUGUUUUUUGUUUUUUGUUUUUGGAUUGAAUCUGCACUCAUAGGAUUAGGCAAGUCCUGGUCAUCCCUUUCAAUCAGAAUCAAUGUUAUUCCAGAUAAAGUCUUCCCUAUAAGAUCUUCCACUUUAAUUUUGUAUGCGAAAGAUCUUAUUUGGUAUCAAGUUUCUCUCAUAGAGCCUUUUGGGGCGAAAUUUAACUAUAACGAGAAAACUUUGGAUCUUCCUAUUCAAUUAGGAUGAAAUCCAACAAAAAUACGGAGAAACGACAACUUGAAUUCAACGGGAAAAAUUAUGAUAAACCAGAGAAGAAGGUUUUGCCCAGGCAAAGAAUUCUAACCGCAUCGUUCAUGAUGUUAAUCUUGAGCAUACUACAAAUUUUUGACGUCGUGCUGUUGCUCAGAUUACAAUAUCAGUACUUAACCUUGACAUGUCCUGGUAUGACCAUGCGAUGACAUUUUUGAACCCUUAAGGUAACUCAACAAGGUCUUGCUUUGUUUCUUCGGUUAUGCAUGUUCCCUCAAGGUUACAAUCUCCAUUGUCUCCUCAUGAGGUAAAUUUGUUUCUCUUCAUGUUCUACCAUCCUCAACAAGUCCUAAGAUAAGCCACGAUCUAUGUCAUCUUCAAAGUCAUGAGAUCCCUCUAAACACAUGUCUUGCUCAAAAGGAGAUUCUGAGUCUGUAGCAGCGUCACUCACGUCAUUGAUAUCUGGGACCCAUAAUAAAUACCAAAGAAUAUACGAAAGAAUGUAUAAAUUUACGAAGAACUAUUUGUACAAUAUGAUUAUGAAUGGAUGAAUGAUGUGGAAGAAAAUCUAAAAGAAUGAAAGAAUAAUUAUUCAAAAGACCGAAAGAAAAAAAUAAUCGCAAGGAUGCAUUUCAUUAAAAUAACGACAAUCAGACAUGAGCCUAUUUCACAAAGGAAUUCUUAUUGCCUCUAGGCUAAAAAAAACAAGUAAGUUUUGAGCAUUACUCUAAGUAAGCUCUAGAUACUACGAAGAAUUCCUCUUCAAUCCGAUUAUUUAAGACACUCCCCAGUUUAUAAGGGUGGAUAUCUAACAAGGUCCCUUUUCAAUUGUCUUCAAAUAUGGUAUUGAUGUGAAUGCCUCUCAACACUUUUUUGUACAUCACAUUAACCCCAUUAUCAAAUGUGAUUGGGUAGCGAAUUUUUUGCACUCGAUGAAUCCUCAAAUUUGACAAUGUCCAUAUUGAUGAGUCUUUCAACCAAUUUCUUGAAAGCCGUGCAAUUUUCUAUCGAAUGCCCCGUAAUUCCUGUAUGGUAUUCACACUGAGCAUUUGCAUUAUACUAUUUAGGAAAUGGGGGCAACAUUGGUUUCAAAUAGAAGGGGGACACCACAUGUGCAUUAAAUAUGCUUUGAUAUAGCUCGCUAUAUGACAUCGGUAUAGGCGUAAACUGAGGGCCUUCUGUAUUUGACUUCAUGUAAGAUUCUCGCUUUAAAGGGCUCUGAUGGCUGGUGAUUUCUGUUUUUGGCCGGCCCACAAUGACUGGUUUUGAGUGACCCUUGUUAUAUCUGCCUACAUUAUUCCCCUUAUUCCCCUUCUUCCUUGGGGCCUUUAAAGUAUUGAUUUGAGAGUUCCACUCUCGCCCUUUCCAUUUGUAACGAUCUUCGAAUUGUUUUGGGAACUCCACCCUUGCAUGUUCUGUUUUUGCUUGAUCAUCAAUGACAACAGGAUUAGUUAAAUUGCCCAUCGAGUUGGAACCUGAGCCAAUCUGGAAAUUCACCGGUGCCGAGGUGCUGGUCUGAUAUUGGGGUCGAAUGUUAACAAUUACCCUUUGUGGAUAUGCAUUUGGUUGUACUUGGGUAUUUGUUGGGUGAAGCCUGAAGGAUAUGUAGGGUCCUCAUUAUUAUCCCUAAAGUGGACCGCUGGGCUCUUUCCUCUUUCUAACCCUCUAGCCAAUAACUGGGUUAACUGGCACAUUAUAUUUCUUUGGAAUUCUAACAACUGAUUCCUCAUAUUUUGCUGAAAUUUGGUCAAUUGCUCCUAUAUCCGCACUUGCAUUUGCUCUAAUUUCUCCAAACUUUGGUCAAUUUCUCUAGUCUUUGUUGAGUGCUAUGAGGGUGUUGGUUUUCCAAUUUAACUGAAAUAAUUUUACUCAAUUAGGCUCUUUUAAUGGAUUUUAAUGCAUAUGAUGUCAUGUAAUGCGAAUGCAUGAAAUGAAUGCAUAAAGAGACGUUGAUUCUAAUUUCAAUUACUUUCAGAAAACUUUAUUAGAAAAUAAAUUUCUUUACAUAGAAUGGGCUACAAAUAUGGCUUUGCCCUAAUACUUAAGACCUUGAUCUUUCUAAGCAACAAGGCCAACUCUUGUCCCCGGUCUGACUCUAAUUCAUACUUCACACUCAACGCGUCGGCCUGUACUACCAAAGUUUGUAGGUGAUCUGCCACUUCUCGAACCUGAACCAUAGCUUCUCCCAUAACGCGAUCCCUAUUUCUGACUUGAUUCUAGAAAUAAUGAAGUUGCUCAUUUUGACGGCCUUUCUUUACCUCUAGAUGCUCAAUCUAAACCUCACAACUUCGCAAUGCUGCUUCUAACUCUUUUAUUUUGUUCUUUAUCUCUUCAAUCUUGCUUAGACUCGCCUUUAGCUUUACUAUAGAAUUUCGACUUCUGUGCUGACGAAGAGACCCUUCUAACUCAACCACUCUAUCUUUUAGCUCGCUUUUUUUCCUUUUGGCCCUCUAACAAGCUCUUUUCUAAUGCUUCGUUCCUUGCUUGUACCUCUUGAAAUUUUCUUUCCCACCAGUCCGACCUAUUUCUUUCUUCUCGAACCUCUUCACGCCACUGCUCUGAAGUUUUUCCAAGCCCGGUAGUUCUCAUUGACAGACGCAUCUUCUUAUAAUCUGUCUUCAAGCUAUCUAGCUCCUCCUCAGCCUUAUUCUUCCCCCUCCUUAAUUUAUCAGCCUCGAGCUUUUGAACAUCUACAUCCAGUCUCAAACCCACUUUUUCCUCCUCUAUUUGCUCUAUUUUCUUCUCUAGUUCUGCAUUUUUCCUUUCAAAGUCUUGCUUUAUGAUUUCCAGCUCAGUAGGGACAACACGCAAAUACUCCUCUAUUGACUGACUAUUUUAUGAUAAGUGCUAAGAGGUGAUGGUCGAAUGUUUAAGAACCUUUGUUUGUGAUUAAUUGGAUGUGUAAGUGUUGAAUGUAUUCUGAUUUUAUGUUUAUUGGGAUGUAUGAUGAGUUACUUUUGAUUGUUUGCAAAAAAAAAACAUGUUACUAAUUAUUAUUGUAUAUAUCGAUUGCAUGUAAAACAUGCUGCUGAUAUCGUUUUACUGAAUGCAUGUAUAACAUGCUACAGUACUGAAAUUGUUACUGAUAAAGCAUGAUGUGCUACAUUGUUACAUGUGAUAUUGCAUUGCAUGAGUUUUGGGAUUUGAUGGGUGACGGAAGAGUUCUAUAGAGUACGAGAGGGUUAUUUGCAUUAUUUUUAAUAGUAUAUUUGUGCCCCGGAGUAUUGUCGGAGUACCAGUGACUUAUCACAACUUACUUGCAGCUUGUAUGCAAAAUAUUUGUAGUUUAACUGUAUAUUGAUAUUGGUGGUUUAUCCAUAUCGAGCUUCGAAUCUUAUUAUUUUUGGUGUUCGGAUGAUGGGUUCUGGGGAACUCGUGGUGUGUAGCGGAUGGAUGAAUAGGACAUUUGCACUGUUUUUUAUUUGAACAUGCCAAUGCAUAUUCAUUGUUUAUUCAAUUGCUAGGAUCUAUUAUGGACAUUGAUAUUGAUGGCUAUGUGUCCUACUGUGAUUGUUUGAAUGUUUAUAUUACUACUGUUUGUUCUGUUAAGACUUACACUGAGCUUUUCAAGCUCACCCCUUUAGCUUACUUCUUACAAAUAACCCUUAAGGUUAGGAUCAAACUCUUCAUAUGGAGGCCUCAUCUCAAAUUUUUAGUUAAUAAAGUAUUUUAAUUUUAAUUUAUUUAUUUCGGUUUUUAUUUUGGGAUUGUGAAUUUUGUUAAUAUGGGUUGUGGCAUGUGUUGUUUUUAUUUGGUUUUUGUAUGCAUGAAAUUUUGGAUAAAAAUCGAGAAAGUUUAAAAAUUGGCUUUAUAUAACUUAAAACAUGAAUUUUCUUACAAAAAUUAAAGGCAUCACCUUUUCUGUUGCGUAAUAAUGAACUGAGUUUUUAAAGGCAUGAUAACGGAAGUAAUUGAGUUUUGCAAACGACACAACUUUUUAAUAAACAGGACUUAAAUGAUAGAUGACCUGAUAAUUUGAUAUUUUUAAUAAACCUAAGGCAACCAUUUUAAGUUCAAAAAAUUUGAGCAAAAUAGAGGUUUUCAAACUGAACGGAUUUACUUGGUCAUUUUGGUGGCUAAUGUAGCCUUCAGGAUUCGGCCGUAACGUCUGGGCCGAUUUUGAGAGGUUACAUAAUCCUUUAAAAAAUAUAAAGAUAUAGGCUAUUAAAAUGAUCAAAUUGCAUUUUUACUAUCGUAAAAAUAUACAAUUGAAUUUCGAUCCCCUAAAAGAAUUUUCUAGCUUCACUCAUAAUUGCAGCCAAUAAUUAUUGAUAAAAUACAAAUAGAUUUAAAGCCUCAAAUUAAAUAAAGUUCUUGUCUAAGGGAUACAAAAACUUGAUAAAAGAUUUCUCGAAUUGGUAAUGAAUUGCGUUUAUGAUAUUUGUGUUCUUGCUUAUAUAUUUUUUUCCCGAGCCAUAGAUUUCUUAGUAUAAUUUGACUUUUAGUUCUAUGUUGUUACUAUAUGUAUUGCUUUGGAAUUAAUCUUCCUAUGUACCGAGCCUUAAUUAUGGAGGAUUAUUAGAAAAGAAAUUUGUAAGUAGUUGGGAGGUAAAAGUACGAUGGAUGCCACAUGUUAAAACUUGGUGUAACUGAUGAAAUAACCAAACAGUGACAUGUGGCAUGCCACGUGUUUCUCAUGUUGACAUAUAGAGACCAAUUUUAACAAUAAAAAUGAAUGAAAUUUUUAAUAGAAGGAUCAAUUUACUUUUUGAUCUAAUGUACAUGGACAAUUUACUUAUUUUUUAAUAGAAAGGGCCAAAUAUAAUUUGACUUUUAGUAUAAGGGCCUCUAUGAUACUUUUACUGAACCUGAGGCUCCCUAUGUUGUAAAUAAAGUGUAAAUUAGCUAAAAAAAACCAAUUAUUAAGAAAAAGAAAUAGAGAUUUAGGCAUAUUUUUAUAAUUACGAUUUUUUAUUAUUAUUUAGAGAAACAUGCCAUUUUUGCUGACAGGACACAAAGCACACCCUACAUUUAACAUGUCAUCUUCCUUGGUCGGUUGUUAAAUAUUGAUGUUUUUAACCAUCCAACCUAUGUUCAAGUCCUCCCCCAAGCAAGUUUGAUGAUUCUUUUUAAUGCAUGUUGUUUUAAGCUUUAUUUUAUUUUUUUUAAUUCAUGUCUUUAUUUGAUAAAUCUUUUUAUAGAAAAAUAAAUAAAUAUGUAAUUAUAUAAUGAAAUUAUAUAAUUCAUAUAUAUCAUUAUGUUAAAUUUGUUUUUGAUAAAUAUGUAAUUAUAAAAUUGGCCUAAAAAUUAUAUUUACUAAAAAUAAUAAUAUUUGAAAUAAUUAUUUGAUUUUAUAAUAGUAGAAUUUAUCAUAUCCACUUUGUUGGUGAAAAAACAAUGGUAUUUGAAAUAAUUAUUUGAUCUAAUAAUAUUAGAAUUUAUCAUGCCCACAAUGUCACGCCUCAAAUUGUGGGUUCAAUUUCUGGGUUAUUUCUGUUACCGUUAAAUUUAUUUAAUUUUCUACUUGAGUUUGCAAUUGGGCUUCUAUUUGGGCCUAAUCUGUUAGAAGGCCAAAAGCCCUAGUACAAUAAACCCUAAACAAUAUAUCAUAGUGUUUUCUAACCCUAGGUAUAUAAGCAACUUUUGUUUGACUGGUCCUUCUUUUGCUUCUUUUGUUUUUCUGUUGUUGCCCCUUUCUCUAUGUUUUUUUUCUUUUCUUUUCCUUAUUCUCUUCCCUUAUGCCACACCAUUUAUUUCUCCUUUCAUCUUCCUCUUUUUUUUCUCCUUUCUUCCUCCCUUUUUCUCUUAUCGCCGCACUCUACAUCUAUUUCUCCGUUCCGAUUUUACAUUGAGGCAUUUCUCCAUUGUGUGAUGCAAUCUUCUCCCUUUUCGACCGGUAGAUUGGUAAGUUCCUUUUAUCGUUUAGAUUUGGUUGUUGAUGUGUUUUUGAGUGUAUGAUCUUCACUCAUUCUUUCAAUUUGCCUAACCGAUUUCUUUUAGAUUUUUUCGAAAGCCUUAAUAACGAUUACUAACUUACGUAUCUUGUGUGAAUAUGUCAUUUGAAGGACUGGAUCUAGGGGUGUUGGAUCAGAUCUAAGUGUGUGAAGUGCUAAACGAGUUAGUGGUGAAAGGUGUGUGUCCUAUCCAUGAAAAUUGGUGGCAAACCAUUUGUGUAUUUUUGAAUCAUAUGGUCUACCAAACGAGCAUGUGUCCCACAUGAUUGGUCAACGUGAUCAUGUGCUAAUGUAAAUUUAGGGUAUUUUUACUCACACGGUCACAGCUAGUUACACGUCCAAUCACUCGGUCUUGUGACUAUUGUUGGAGAUUUUGCUUAUUGAUCACACGAAUUCAGUGAGUUACACAGCCUGGACACAAGCCCGUGUACCUCAAUGCACACAGCAUCAACGUUUCACACGGUCUAGCCACAUGACCAUGUGACCUUUGUUUUACAGUUUUGCCUUAAUUUUUUUGAAAUAUUUCAGUUUAGUCCUUGUAUAAUCCCCAACUUGUUUAAAGUUCUCGUAAGCUCAAUUGAGACCCUUUUUCCAUAUUUGUUCUGAAAUAUGUGAUCUGUUUGAUUAUGUAUUAAAUUUGAAAUUGCUGCUGAUAUAUAUUCACUGAUACUGUUAAAACUACAACUGCUACUGUUUGUAUGAUAAUCGCAUUAUCAUAUUGUUAUAAUUACUAUUUAUUGAUUUAUAAAAGCAUGUCAUACUAUUGUAUUGGGAUUGGGUUGUUGAAGGAGGAAGUGCUACUGGCGGUUUAUUCGCAUAUCUACUGGAAGUUUAUCUACAAAUCUGCUGGCGGUUAUUUGCAUAUCUACUGGCAGUAUAUCCACACGAGCUUAUGCUCCCACUGUUAUGGUGUAUAGGGUUGGACGAGUUUUGGGGAACUCUUAUUAUGGAGUGUAACGAAUAGGUGGGUAGGAAAAUUCUAUAGUUAAUCCUGUAUAUUGCAUACUUACUGAUAUCACCGUGAGAUUGAUAAUCUGAAAUGUAUUAUAUAUUGCAAAACUGUAUGUUAUCAUUUACUGUUUAAUUUGCUUACUGCUUGUGUGUUAAGACCACACUGAGUUUUAUAAACCAUUCUUUAGUUUCCCAUCUUUUUGGAUAAUUAUUGAGGUUAGGGUUCGAACUCGACAUUCGGACCAUUGUCAUCGAUUUUAUACAAAGUAUUUUAAACCCCGUUUCAUAAACUUUGUUGAUUUUUGCAUUAUUUACAUACGGACUGUGACAUGGACUUUACUAUUCCAUAUGGGUGUUAAAAUUUGAGAUUUGACGUUAUUUGGUUUUGACAUUAAACACAAAUAUGAUUAAGAAUUUUUAAGUUAUUAUUUCAAAUUAUUUCCAACUAGCCUAAAUAUGGAUUUUCCAACUGACUUUGUAAUUAAAAUUAAGUAAAUGAGAUAUUUAAAAUAAAUUAAUGUUUUUUUAAAUGGAUUAGAUUGUAAAUGUGAUUUUUAAAAUUGGAUCAAAAUUAUUUUUCUAAAAGAAAAAUUUACCUGUGCUAUUAUGAGUUAAAAUAAAUAAAUAUACAUGUGUAUAUAUAUUGAAAACUUAAGUGACAAUUUCUUUUAAUAACCACUGAGACUUGUAUUGUCAAACUCUUUUUACUGAACUCAAAAGCUUUACUGGGCCAUUUCAGUGGCUAAUGUCACUUUCAUGAUUUGACUAUAAAAUUUGGGCUGGGUUGGGGAGGUUAUACAUAAUGUAGGUGGAUAAGUAAAAUAUUUGACAUACCAAAGUUAUAUAAGGAGAAAUUAAAAUUUUAAUUCAUACUUUUAAAGAAUAAAAUAUUUCUUUUAACAUAAUGAUAUAUAAAAAUAUAUAUUUCCAUUAUAUAAUUACAUAUUUAUUAUUUUAUUUAUAUAAAUAAUGGAAGUAUUAAUUUAAAAAAUAUUUUUGACAUAAUGAUAUAUAUAAAAUGUACAUUUUAUUAUAUAAUUACAUUUUUAUUAUUUUUAUAAAUAAAAGAGUUAUUAAUUUAAAAUACAUUUAACAUAAUGAUUUAUGUAAAAAUAUAUAUAUUUUGAUUAUAUAAGUACAUGUUUAUUAUUUUGUUUAUAUAAAUAAAUGAUUUAUUGUAACACCCCUAACCUUUAUCUAUCGCCGGAUUAGGGUUAUGGAGCAUUACUGUACACUCGAAACAUUUAAACUUAAUUUCAUUCAAUAUCAUAAAUAUAACAUAAAUCAUUCAUACAUACACACACCGUCCCUAUAUUGAGCCCUUGAGUCCCAAGAAACACCUUAGAAAGAAUUUGGGACUAAAUUGAAAUCAUUUGAAAGUAUAGAAAAAAGUUACAAAAAUUUGGAUAUAGGGGUCACACGGCCAUGUGGCCAGACUGUGUAACCUUCAAACUAGGGACACAUGACCGUGUCCUAGUGUAACACCCCUAGCCCGUAUCCGUAGCCGGGUUAGAGCUACGGAGUGUUACCGAAGCAUAAUUUUAAGGUACAAUUAGUUAACAUUAACAAUUCAUCACAUAAUUCAUAAAAAAAAUCAAACAAAUUCAUACAUACAGUCCCUUUUACGAGCCCUCAAGGCCUUAAAAAUGUAUUAGAAACAAAUUGGGACUAAAUCAGAAACAUAUUAAAUUUUUCAGAAAAAAUUAAAAAAUUUCAAACUAUAGGGAUCACACGGCCAAGAGACAUGCCCAUGUCUUAGGCCGUGUGGGCAUUCGAAAUAGGGACACACAGCCAUGUCCCAGCCCGUGUCUGUACCCGUGUAACUCACUGACUUGGGUCACACGGCCAAGCCACACAUUCGUAUGCCAAGCUGUGUACCCUCGAAAUAACUCCACACGCUCGUGUGCCAGGCCGUGUAACAGCCUGACUUGCAAACCUUUGAAAGCUAUAGGGGACACAUAGCCAUAUCAUCUGGCCAUAUGUCACACACGGCUGAGACACACGCCCGUGUGGAUGAAAACUAGGCCAUUUCGAAGCCAUUUUUCUCACCCAAACUCACACCACAUGCACAAGCCAUUUGCAGCUAAAAUCAAUCAUUCAAAACACAUUUUGCAUAUGCAUAUCCAAGCUUAUACAACAUAGAAACUAUCCAUUCAACCAAUAUGCCAAAAUGACACCUCAAUUUCAACAAUCAAACUUACCUAACACCUAACCAUUUCAUUCACUAAAAUUUACCAAUUGAACAACUUCAAAGCCACUUUUAUCCAUAUGUUCAUAUACUAAAAUGCAUACACAACCAAUACCAAAUGACCAUUUUCCCAACUAACAUAUACCAUACUAAUUUGACCAAAAGAUGAUCACUUCCAAACUACCAAAAGUAGCCAUUUACAACACCAUGCUACAUUCAUUCCACACCAACCAUUCAUUGUUACCAUACCAUUUCCAUCAACAUUUCCUUACCAUCAUCUUAACCAACAUAACAUCAAAUUAUCAACCACACAAAAUACCAUAUAAUCUUAAUAUCAUACCAACUAAUUCAUCAACCAAGAUAACAUAUAUACAAACCACACAUAAUGGCUAGAUUGAUUAAACAAAACACCUAUACAUGUCAUUAUAACCAUGACUCAAAAUCAUCAAAAUCUACCAAUUUAACUGACGGAUAGUGUGGUGGAUCUCCAAUAAGCUUCUAACUCGUACGAACCUCCGAUUAUCUAGAAACAUAGGAGAAAAUCACACAAGUAAGCAUAUAAUGCUUAGUAAGUUAGUAAAUCAUAAACAAUACUUACCAUUUCAUUAUAAAAGCUUAAAGGCAAAAUAGUGAACAUAUCCAACAAAAAUUCACAAUAGUGAUUAACAUAUAACUUAAUCAAAUUCAUUACACAACAAAGAGCUUCCUUAAGCUUUCCAUGUAAACAUUUUUACUAAAAUCUUUAAUCACUAUCAUUUCAUACCUUUCUCAUGCUUUCGUGACAUUAUAAGUUGAAACUUAUGCCGAUCCUUCCCUUUUUGUAUACCCGUUGAACCACUAGAAUAAUAUUGAAUACUUGGGAAUCUCGCACACAAUGUGCUAACACGUGGUCGAAACCACUACUAUUUCAUAUCUCAUAUAAUUGCUUUCUCUCAAGCCAUAAGUGGGUCUGUUCACACAAGCUGUCAGUCAGGAUAUAGCCACAUGGUGCUGACCACACAAGUUGUCAAGUAACUACAACACAUGUGGGAAACUCAACCACUGGUAGGACGUACAAGACCAGCACCUGAAACAUAGUAACCUCUAAUAACAUGUCAUUUGUAUCCUAUAUAUUCCUAAGGUUCAAACGAGAUCCGAAAGUCUUCGAAACUUUGUUGGAUAUUUUCGUAGAGUCGUAAUACCAAGAAUAUAACACAAAAUAAUUUAAAUAAAACAUAAUUCAAUACUAAUUAAAUAUACAAGCUUACCUCAAACAUGAACGGAGAAAUAUGAUUGAUUAAUCCAAUAUUUUUUCUUUUCCUCGAUCUAAAUCCGUACAUUGCUUUUAUUGAUCUAUAUAAUCAAAUUUAACUAAUUCAAACUUCAUUCUAUUCAAUUUAAUCCAAAAAUCAUGUUUUUGGAAAAAUUACACUUUUGCCACUAUAGUUUUGAAUUCAUUUCAAAUUAGUCCCUAGCUCAUAAAAAUAGAAAUUCAUACAAUUUAAUACCAAUCCACCAUAUUCAAACAUCACUUAGGCCCUUAAAAAUCCCUAAAUUUCAAUUAUUUCAUAAUUUCAGAAAGAAUAAUUUUCUAUUUUUCAAUCUAAUCCCUAAUUGGCAAAUUCAUCAAAAUUUCCUUUACAAAAGUUGUUCAACUAUUAUCAAACGUUCAUUUUCAUCCACCAAACAUAAAAAAACAACUAACAUUCAUUCAUGGUAAAACCCUAGAAUUUUAACAGUUUUGCAAAUUAGUCAUUGGGCUAGCUAGAUUAAGCUACAACGACUUCAGAAACAUAGGAAUCAUUAAAAAUCGAGCAAAAAUACACUUACAUGCACUAGAAGUGUUGGCUGAAUGCUUCAAGCCCUAGCUAUGGCUUCCUAUUCUUCAAUUUCGAUGGUCUUUGUCAUUAAGGAAGAUGACAUUUUAAUUUUCUUUUUGUUUUAUUAUACUAAUUAGCUUAAUUACAAUUUUAACCUUACUUUUAACCUUUAUAAUUUUAUAACUAAAGUCCAUAAUUGUCCACUAAUAUGUUAAUGGUCUAAUUACCAUUUAAGGCCACUUAUAAUUAAAUUUCAUAGUAAUUUAACACCUUUUCUAAUAGAACACAAGUCUUGCACUUUAUGCGAUUUAGUCCUUUUUAUCAAAUAAAACAUACAAACGAUAACAUUUCUUCAUGAAAUUUUUAUACGAAGCUAUUAUCAUGCUGCAAACCUUAAAAUAAUAAAAUAAAUUUUUUGACAUUAGAUUUGUGGUCCCGAAACCACUAUUCUGAUUUCACUAAAAAAUGGGUUGUUACACUUAGCCUGUGUCCUCACCUAUGUAACUCACUAAGUAGGGUCACACGGCCAUGUCACACGUCCGUAUGCUAGGCGGUGUAACACUUGAAAUUGCCCCACAUGCCCGUAUGCCAGGCUGUGUGCUAGGUCGUGUAACUCAUUGACUUGCACUUUAAGAACACAUCAGAUGACACACGACCGUGUCACCAGGCCGUGUGUCUCACACAGUUGAGUCAUAUGCUCGUGUCUCAGGUCGUGUGGACCCAAAAUGAACCUUAAACAAUAAGUUUACCAUUUCAAGCUUACUUUGACUCUAAAUAAUCCAUUUACCAGCCAAAAGACCUAUUCAAAGUGACAUUAAACAAGCCAAAAAUAUGCCAAAUCAACAUCCUAAGUUCCUAACCAAUGUAUCAUCAUUUAUACCACAAGUAUAUACAAUUAUACAUCAAAAUGAAACAUCAAUCAAAACUUAUCAAUUCAUCAAAUCUAACACCUAACCAAUAUAGCAAUCAUAGGCACCUCAAACACAACAUUGCAUUAACACAUAUCAUUCAUAUUUGCAUUGAAACAUCUUACCUCAUUCACAUGUAUCAUAUAAGUAAGCAAUUUACAUAUAAGAUCAUACUUAACAUUUUACAUAUCCAAAACAUUAGUAAUGACAUACAAUCCUAUUACAUUCCAUAUAAUCUGAAAUGAACGUUCCAAAAACUAUCAAAAUUUAUGGAUAGUGUGACUUGAGUGCUGAUCCGAUCGUCCAACCUUCUGAAUAUCUAAAAGAACAAUAAAUAACACAAGUAAGCUCAAUAAAGCUUAGUAAGUUCGACAUAUUAAAACGAUAAAUCUUACCGAAGUAAAUACAACAAAUCAAAUAAUAAUACAACCAUGAAUGUUUCCUGCCAUCUACAAUCUCGACCGGUAAAUCAUAAAAGUUCAAUUCAAUACUCAAAUAUAUGACAAAACCAUCAAAAUAACUAAUCAAGAUACCUUAUCAAUAUUUUCAACUCGAUAAAUGACUUACGGAUAAGAGUACAUAGAUAAUCUAACCGAAACACAUCAGAUUGAAUCGUACGAACUUACCUGGAUUUUAAAUCGUACGAACUUACCUGGAUUGAAUUGUAGUAGUUGCAGAAGUUUAAGGAUUAUUCUGUAAUUUUUCCUUUUCCACGAGUAUCAACUGGGUCUUUAUCUAAAAUGUAAAAUUUCUUAAUUAUCAGCUUACAUUUCACAUUCCAAUUCAUUUUACAUUUUAUACCCUUUUAUUUUUUGAAUUUACCAAUUACCCUCAAACUUUUACAAUUUUUUCAAUUUAGUCCAUUGACCCAAAAAUCAUCAAUUAACCAUUUUUCUCAAGUCAACAUGAUAAUCUAAUAUACUAGGCCCUUCCCUACUAAACACCAAAUUCACUAUCAAACCCUAAAGUUUUGACAUUUUCACAAUUUAAUCCCUAAAUCAAAAUCUAACAAAAAUCACUUCAAAAAAUCACCAAAUAACACAAUCAAAGCUUAAAAUACAUAAGUAUUAUAAAAAAAAAUUCAAGAUUCAUCCAUGACAACUUCUAAAAUUUUUAACAGAUUCAAAAACAAAAGUACGGGCUAGUUGGACCUAAUUGCAAUGAAUCAAAAACAUAAAAAAUUACAAGAAUUGAACUCAUAUGCACAACGAUGAAGAAACCGAAACUUAAAGCUUUCUCAUGUGGUGGUUUUGGCAAAGGUUGAAGAAAAAUGAAUAGGAAAACUUCAAAUUUCAAUUUGUUUUGUUUAAUUUCAACUAAAUUACAAUUUUGCCUUUAAAAUUACAUUUUUUUAUCAUUUUCUAUUGUUUAGCCGUCCAACCAAGUUAAUUAGGACUAACUUACCCCUUAAGUCAUUCCUUAUUUAACUUUCAAGCUAUUUAAUAAACUAAUUGCAAUAAUUAUAAGUUUUGUGCCUUUUACAAAUUAGUCUUUUUUCUUUAAUUAGCUAUCUAAACGUUAAUAUUUCUGAACCUAAAUUUAAUAUGAAUCUAAUGACUCCAUAAAAGUUCUAAAAAUAAUAUUUACGAGUCGACACGAUGAAAAUUCGUGGUCCCAAAACCACUGUUCUGUCACCACUGAAAAUUAGGCUGUUAUAGUUAUUCAUUAAAAAGUUGAAUUAAAAAUAAAAUUAAAGAAACUUGAAAUCAACAUGUUUAUUAAUUAGAAACUAAAAAUUUAGAAUAAAAAUAAAAAGGCUGGAAAUAACUUGAAGUACAUAUUUAUUAUUAUUUUGUUUGUAUAAAUAAAAAGAGUUAUUAAUUAAAAACAUGAAUUAAAAAUAAAAUAAAAUAACUUGAAAAACAUGUUUAUUAAUUAAAAACUAAAAACGAAAUAAAAUAAAAUAAAAUUAAAUUAAAAAUUUUAUCACACAUAUUGUGAAAAUCACGCAUUUAAAACAUAAAUUUAUAUAAUUGAAAAUAACAUACAAAUUAAACAAUCACCACUUGCCUUAGAAAAAAAAAUUAAAGGCCACCUUCGUAAGGAAUUAAUUAGAUAAAAUUAAGUUGGAACACUCAAUUAAUGAAAUUAUUGGUUGUUUGGAUGAUGAGAAUCAAGUUUAAAUUGUUGUUGAGAUCCAUCUCAAAAUUUGGAAAAAGAAAUUGCAGGGGUUGGAAGAGAACCAAGUUAUAGAGAUUUAUUUCAAAAUUUAGAAUUAUUUUUAAUGAAUUUGUAUAUUAAGGUAAAAAAAGUUUAAAAUAUAUUUGAAUAAUAUGAUUAUUUUAAUUAUGAAAUAAUAUUUUUGUAAUUUUCUUAAUUAAGUUAGUGUUUGAUUGACUCGUGACAACAACACAACCAUGUGAUUAAAUAAUUGGAUAGAUUUGCAAUUGAUGGAGAUAAUAAAAUAAAAUGUAUAAAAAAUAUUAAAAUAAAAUUUUGAUGGAAUGAUAAAUUUAGAGUUUUACUAAUUUAAUAGGUGUGGGUUUAAAUCUUUAAGUAUGCACAACUUUAUUAGUUUUUCUAAAAUAAAAAUAUCAAAUAGUAUAAUUUAUUAAUAUUUUCAUAAUUUUACUUGUGAUACCACGUAAUACUAUAAAUAAGCUUUACAUCAGCAAUUAAUCACCCACCCAAUUUUGUCGAGUCAGCAACCAUAAAAUAAGCUUUUGUCCAGUCAACAACAAAAGUAUAUUCCGUAAAAAGAAUGGAUUUGAAUUUUUUUUCAAUACAAAUUAGAAGGAUAAAUUUAAUUUAUAGUCGCGUAUAUUAUUUCUUUCCUUCCUUGAAUAAUAAAAAAAUCCACUUAAAUCCUUAAUUUUUCUUUUUCUAAUUUAGCCCUAUAAAUAAGGUAGUUAGCAGCCACAGUAGUAUAUGAACCUAAAACUUGAAUUCCAAUACCUCCCAUAAUCACCAUGGAUCUUUACACUUACCUUCAAUCAAUUGCAAUUUUGUUGCUGUUGUUAUGUACUUUCUCGAGAAGAGCACCCAAAAAUUCCAAGAAAAAUUGCAUCCCUGAACCAUCCGGUUCAUUGCCACUCAUCGGUCACCUCCAUCUCCUAGGUGGGAAAGAGCCAAUCUGCAAGAAGCUAGCAACAAUAGCGGACAAACACGGCCCACUCUACUCACUCAAACUCGGAACCCACCGACUGUUGGUGGUGAGCAGUUGGGAAAUCGCCAAGGAUUGCUUCAAGGACAAUGACCGAACCCUGGCUACUCGAGCUAGCAUCGCUGCUGGGCGGCACAUGGGUUACAACAAUGCGAUCAUGGCUCUCGCCCCAUACGGCGAAUAUUGGCGUAACAUCCGUAAGAUAGCCACGGUUGAGCUUCUUUCUAGCCACCGUUUAGAGAAGCUAAAGCACAUACGUUUCUCCGAAAUGGACUCGUUCAUCAAAGAGUUGUACGGACUUUCACGAAACGGUGCCAAAGUGACCAUCAACGAGGCUUUGGAACGAUUGACGUUCAACAUCAACCUACGGUUAUUCGUCGGAAAACGAUUUUCCGGCUGUGAUUACGAGGAAGUAAACAGCGAACCGUGGCGGUACGAGAAGGCCAUUAAACGAGCGUUGCAUCUUUCCGGGAUCUUCGUCUUGGCGGAUGCUGUACCGUACCUCGAAUGGCUUGAUAUUCAAGGCCAUGUUCGUUCCAUGAAGAGAACAGCCAAAGAACUCGACUCAGUACUCAGUGUUUGGCUCGAAGAACAUCUAAAGAAGAAAAAGGCAAACCAGGGUAUCUCUGAAAAUGAUUUCAUGGACGUGAUGUUAAAUCACUUACCGGAAGAUACUGUAAUUUCAGGCCAUAACCGCGACACCAUUGUAAAAGCAACAACACUGGUAAGUGGUAAUGGUCCCAUAAGUUGUGCUAGCUUUUAGCUAUUCUCAAUAGCUUCCGGUGGAGUUUAUAUACGGUAUCAAUACUAUAUAUACUUAUUUAAGUUCAAUUUAGUUAAAAAUAGGCUAAAAGUACUCAUAGGUUAUGUAGGAUUCAUGUUGAGCUCUUGCAUGAUAUGAGCAUUAUAUAUAGUUGCAAAAAUACAACUUAAUUCGAAAUAUAAAUAUUAAAUUUUAUCUAAAAUUAAUAAAUUUUAAUAAAUUUUUGGGGUUAUAUGGGUAAAAGUAUUAUAGAAGCCUGAGCGUCAAAUUAUAUUUUAUCUUUUUUUAAUUAAAAUAUGAACAAAUUAGUCCAUACAUAUUAGAUUAAAUAGAAACUUAGUCUCUCUAUUAAAAAUUUCAUUUCUAUUAUUAAAAAUUAGUCUUUUUUAAUAAAAUAAUCAGAUAAUUAUACCUAAUGUGCCAUGUGUAUCUCAUAUUUACAUAUAAAAUUCAAUCCGGACAUCUUACUUUUACUGCUAUUAAAACUCUACUGUUUGCAGAUUCUUUCAUUGACCGGAGGAGAAAGUACAUCAGUGACAGUCACAUGGGUACUUUCUUUACUACUGAACCACCCGAAAAUUUUAAUGGCCGCACAACAAGAGUUGGACCACCAUGUUGGAAAACAAACGUGGGUCGAAGAAUCAGACAUUAAGAACCUCAAAUAUCUACAAGCCAUAGUUAAGGAAACUCUACGUUUAUACCCACCGGGACCCAUCACCGGAAUCCGUUAAGCCACCGAAGAUUGUCGCAUCGCUGGCUACGAUGUCUCAAAGGGUACUCGUUUGAUUGUGAAUCUUUGGAAAUUGCAACGAGACCCACCCACGGGUUUGGGAAAAUGCCGAUGAGUUUCGUCCAGAAAGGUUCAUGACAACGCAUGUUGAUUUCGAUGUUAGGGGUCAAAAUUUUGAGUACAUGCCGUUUAGCUCCGGUAGAAGGUCAUGCCCUGGAAUCACGUUUGGGUUACAAGUUGUUCACUUGAUGGUGGCCAAACUAAUUCAGGGAUUUGAUAUUAAGACGGCAGAAGGGACUGCGGUGGAUAUGGAAGAAGGUUUCGGACUUGCCUUACCUAAGCUGAAUCCUAUUGAUGUUGUUCUAAGGCCACGCCUUCGUACGGAGUUCUAUGAGUGCCUUGAGGACAUGAAUAAAUACUAGAGAUUUUAAGUAUUUUAUAUUUGAUUAAAUAAAUAAUGUCCGAAUUAAGGUCUCGAAUAUAAGAAUGUGUGUACACAAAUUAUGUUUUAAUCGUCACAAUCAAAUAUAUAUUAAAUUUAAGUUGUCUGAUAAAUUGAAAUUUUAA
rnacentral:lncRNA from 1 species